rnacentral:lncRNA from 1 species
GCAAGGCUGUGUCUUUGUCGUUAUUUAUCAUCCUCAGAAUUACCGUACAAUCUGCUACAGCCCCUCUUUCUGUGUCUCCUUCUCCAAGUUUUUUGGCAGCGUCAAUCAGAUUUUUCACCACUGUCCAGUGCCCUUCCCUGGCUGCAAGGUGAAGUGGUGUGUCACCUUUCUCAUUGGGCUGUUGCAAUAGUGAUGAAGGAGAACCCAACCCAAGGAUCCACUUAACGCAUUCCGCUUGACCGAACUGGGCUGCAACAUGGAGAACAGUGUUCUUCUUUGGGGUUAGUUUGACUUGAAUAUCAUCUUUACGAGCGUUAAGGGCAUGGGUGUCACCAUCUGCUGCAGCCACGUACAAUUUAGGAUCCAUGAUUGUGAUCUUGGUCAGGCUCCCAUCUUCAGCUGCAGCCAGGUUGGUGAUCUCGAUUUCCCUAGCAUCUUCAGCUGCAGCCUGGUUGGUGAUCUGAAUUUCCCUAGCACCUUCAGCUCCAACCUGAUUCGACUCUGUAUUCAAGUUAAGGCUGGAAGUAGUGGGAUCGGCCAUUGUUGUUGAAUGAGCAGUGGCCUUUCUAUAUUUUGCUCCAAGGAUGGGAAACAAGUUGACCAAUUGUUUAAUGGAGAGGGUGGCUCUUAGCUCAACCUCGGGGAAAUUAAGUGGAUGCUUUUUAUAGCCUAUAGGUGUGUGGGUGUAAUUUGAUAUUCAAAGAUGGAAGUAUAUUCAAAUUCUCCAAUCUUUGUCAUAAAUUAAAACAGUAGAUGGAAGUACAUAUCAAAACACCACAAUUAUUUAAGUACACAUUCUAAGAUAUUUUCGGUAGGUUAUGUUUAUAUUCAAAGAUAUUUUAUACACUAUUGAUGUAAUGGAAAGUUGUUUAUUUGAAUUUUUCUUUUUAUAUGCCGUUCCUUUCAACUUGAGUCCACAUUUCAAGAUAUUUUCUAUAAAUUAUGUUUAUAUUCAAAGAUAUUUUAUGUACAAUUCAUAAUGUGAUAGAAAGUUGUUUAUUUGAUUUUUCAAUUCCUUUUUAUAUGUAGAUAAUGGUAUGUGAGGAAAUUGAAGAAAAAUGCUCUGAGCAUGUACUCCUCCGAGGAUAUCACCAAAAACAUUUGGAGAAGAUCACCAAUGCCAAAAAAAUUAUGAAUACAUAUUUCUCCUUUCCUGGUAUUUUCUUUCUCUUAAUUUUCUAUUUGAUUGGCAUAUUUGGAGGACACCACUAACUAUUAUUUGUUUUUUAAGUCAUAAUUAGUCUAUUUUUCUCUCAUAUUCCAACUAGCUACUUAACUUGAUUUCCAUCCAUUUCUUAGUGAAGAAAAAUGCUUUGAAUAUAUCCUUGUCCAAGGAUAUCACUAAAAAAUGCUCUGAAUUAGUCCAUUACUAAUUAUUAUUUAUUUUUUAAGUAGUAAUUAGUUCAUUUUUCUCUCAUAUUCAAACUAGCUAAUUAACUUUAUUUCCAUCCAUUUCUUAGUGAAAGAAAAAUGUUUUGAACACGUCUUCCUCCAAAUAUAUCACCAAAAGUAUUUUUGGAAAAAUAUCACCAGUGUCAAAAAAAAAAAAUGAAUACAUAGUACAAUGGAUUUAAUGUUAUUUUGUACAAGUAUGAAUUUAUGAAAUUAAAGUCAAGACAACGUAAAAGAUAUUUUGUAGAAGAAAUUUCAAUCAAAAUGGUACGUGUAUGUGUGUUAAAGCCUUACCAACUUUGUUGUGGGAGUUAAAAGCCUUACCAGCUCUCAUUGUAGAAUGGACAAAAAAAUUUCAAAAAGAAAAAAUAGAAUAUGAUACUGUGGUCAAAACCAAAUUAUUUUUAGGUCAAUUAUAAACACAUGUUCUAGACCCAAUGGGUUUGGGCCAAUAAACCCAAUGAGUUCUUUUUACUUAGUUAAAUGAUUGAAUGCAUUAUCAAAUUGAUAUCCCUUUAGGGCUCGUGUUUUUAUUUUUCUAUCUUUUGUUUCUUAUUUAUUUAUUUACUUAUUUUUGUAUCUCUCUAUUUUAAUUUCAACUUUUUCACAAAUUUUAUAGUAUCCAUGUAUGUAACAUUGUAAACUAACAAUUUCACUCUCGGAUCAGAUUGGUAUAUUUGGCAUAUGUCGCCAAGUUUUAGUUUAAUUUUUCUAAAUGAUAAUUGACCAUUUUUCUCUUACAUUUGAAAGCUAAUUAGAAUAUAUUUGACAACUAUUUUUUAGAUUAAUUUUUUAUUCUGUAAAACAAAAAAAAAAAAAAAAAAACCAACAAGGAAAUAUGUUUGACAACUAAAAAACUAUUUUAUAUUUUUAUUCUUUAAAAUAGAAAACAUGAUGUUUUUAAAGAAAAUUUUAUAGUUGUUUUCGUUUGUGUUUUUAAGAACCAUUUUUAUAAAAUAAUUAUACCAAUAUAUAGAAUGAUUAAAAAUAAAGAACUGAAUAUAAAAAUUAAUUUUAAAAUAUAUUUAAAAAAAUAAAAUAAUAGUUUUUUAGAAAUGUUUUUUAAUAUAGUUACCAAAACAGGGUUUCAGCUUUACGCCCCUCCAUGUUGACUCAAUUAUUAAUUAUGUGGCAUUCGAACAUAAGUCAAUGUAUAAUUUUAAUAGGAAAAAGACGGUUAUAUAUAUAUAUAUCAUAACAAACAAAAAGGUGAUAGAUGUGUGUUUUAAAGCAGUUUGUUUCAAGUUAUGUGUAUAUUCAAAGAUAUUUUAUGUAGCUUAUGUUGACAUUUAAGGAUAUUUUAUAUAAUAUUAAUAUAAGGAAAAGUUGUUUGUUUGAUUUUGUUUCUCUUUCUACUAUAGAUCCUACCUAGAUCCUGAUCCUUGUCUUAUUGGGAUCCCAAAGUCUUCUAUACAACACUACGCACUUUUUACCCCCACAGAAACCAUAGUCGCUCCUUUAUCUAGCUAAAUGCUUUUUAUUAAAUAUUUUUAUAAAUGGAAUUAUAUUUCUGACAUUCCACAAUUUCUUCGAUCUCCAAGGAUAGAAGAUGGAAGGAUUAUAAGGAAGAGGAUGUUUAAUUGUAAUUUUUUUAGUAAUAUAUAUAUAUAUUUAAAGAAGUAAUUGGUCCACUUUUAUCUCAUAUUUGGAUUAACUAAUUAACUUGAUUUCCGCCUUAAAGAACCAAUUAGUGUCAAUUUAAGUAUAAAUCAAUAUCAAAUAUUAAUGUUGAUGAAGACUAGGUACCCAAUCAAAGUGGUAGAAGUAUCUUAAGGCCAUAUCACCUUUAUCAAAAUGUAUGUGUUGGCCUACUACCUUACCAUCUUUGUCAAGAUGUAUGUGUUAACCCUACCUACCACCUUUGUGAAGAUGUAUGUAUUAAUAUCCUCGAAACUUUAUCAUACGAACUAAAACAAUAAGUGAAAAUAUAUCAUAACCCAACAAUUGUUUUUUUGACAACAAUUGUUUUUUGGGAGAUGAGUAGUCCUUUUCAACUUAGGUUCACAUUCAAAGAUAUUUUGUAUGGCAUAAAUCUAUAUUCAAAGAUUAUAUAUAUAUUCCAAACAUAAAUCAACUUCAAAUAUUAAUGUUGAUAAAGAUUGGGUAUCACCAUAUCAAAAUGGUAGAAGUAUCUUAAGACCAUACCACCUAUAUCAAGAUGUAUGUGUUAAUAUCCUCAAAGCUUUGUCAUUUGAAUUAAAUCAGGAGGUGGAAGUAUAUCUUAAUAGAACAAUUAUUUUUCUAGAGAUAAGUAGUUCCUUUCAACUUAAGUGCACAUUCAAAGAUAUUUUAUAUAGUAUAUGCCUACAUUAUAUAUAUUUAUAUUCACUCAUAUCUUAUUCUUUUUUUAUCAAAUCCACAUCAACAAUGUCUCUUGUGAAAACAUUGAAAAAAUCGUCAAACCCAUUAAAAAAUCAUUAAAAAAAUUGUGAUAUACUAAUUUGAUAGGAAGAAAUCCCACUAGUUAAUUAUUAUUUUUUUCCUUGAUCAUUUACACUUUCAUAUGAUCCAUCAAAUUCAUCUUCCACAAUUGGUCUACUUCUUAGUUAAUUUUGUUUACCAAUUUUAAUAUGAUCAAAAUCAAUUUUAAAAUUUUAGGUUAUGUUUGGUUUAAAAAAAAAUUGAGAGAAAAUAUAAGGGAAGAAAAAUAUGGAGGAAAAGAAGAAAGAAAGAAAAAUGAAUGAAAAUAAAAUAGAUUUAAAAUUAAUAAAUUAUUUUUAUAUGUUAUUUUAAACUAAAUUCACUUAUUUUAACUCUUCUAUAUAAAAAUUAAAUAAUUUGAAAAUAUAUAAGUUUUAACUAAUUUUAAUUAUAUUUUAAUUUCUUUGAUAUUUUUAAUAGUAUUACAACCAAACAUUAAAAAUAAUCAUUUUUUUUUAACAUUUUUUCCAUAAUACUUUUUGAAGAAUCAAAUAUAACCUUAAUGUUAAAAUUGAAUAGAAUAUAAUUAUUUUGUAUCUGUAAAAACUUGCUACUUUGACAAACUAGAGAUAAUUUUUAUCUUAUCAACAAUUGUGAAGUUGAGUAAAUUUAAAGCUAAAUCAAUUUCCCAAACAUCAACAAAUAAAAACAAAAUUAAAUAGUCAAAUAUCGUAUUUUUCUAGAGUUGGAAGUACAUAUAAACACCGCAAUUGUUUUUCUAGAGGUAAGUAGUCCCUUUCAAUUAAGUCUAAUUUCAAAGAUAUUUUCUAUAACUCUACAUUUCACAUUCUAUAUAUUUUGUGAGCAAUUCCCUUCAAGCUUUUGUCCAUGAUUUAAAGAUAUUUUAUGUAGAGCAUACGUGGAAGGGCUUUUGCCCAUGAUUGAAAGAUAUUUUAUGUAGAGCAUAUGUGGAAGGGAAAGUUGUUUGCACAUAUAUAUAUUUUUCUCUUUCUUUCUUGUGAAGUUUUUCUGUCUUUUUAGACAUCUCCCAUUUUUAUUUACUUGAUGAGAUUUUUAUCCUAUCACACUCCGGCCUCAAUAAUUUGGCUACAUUAAACCCAUUAACACCAUUUUAUUAUUUAUUUUUCUAAAUUGUAAUGCUUCAUAUUUCUCUCAUAUUUGAACCAACCAUCCAGCUUCGUUUCACGCUCAUUCCUUGAUUCACCCAUUUGAUAAGUGACUGUCAAUCAUAAAUCAAUAUAGAGAUGAGUCGUUGCUUUCAAAUCAUGUCUAUAUUUUUUAGAUUUUUUUUGUAACUUAAGUCCACAUUCAAAGAUAUUUUACGUCAAACAUGGGUGUAGAGGAAAGUUACUCAAAUACCAUAUUCUCUUUCCUUCUAUGGAUAAGAUAAUGCUUGGUUCUAAUUUCAUAUGUAGUAUAAUUUUAAUUCUUAAUUUUAAGAAAAUUAUAAAAAUAAAAAUAAAUAGUAAAUAAAAGAUUCAUUCCCAAAUUUGUUUAAAGUCAUUUUAAAUCUCACAACUCAUUCUCAUUAUAUUUGUAAGGCAAUCAAGCAACUUGCUGUCUCACAUGUAAAGAUUAAAAUGUGGUCAAAACUCAUCAAAAGAAUCAUUAAAUGUUUUUCUACUUAUUGUUAUAUAAUCAUCAUUAUAUUCUUGUGUAUUUUUUUUUUAAAUAAAACUAGUUUUAAGAAAAAUAUUAAGUAUUUUUAAAAGCUAAAAUUCAAUUGAAAAUUUAUUUAUACGUUCUACUUUUGAAAAUAGUGAAAACCAAAGCAUAUUUAAAUGCAUUUUUUCCCUCUUUUAUUUCUUUUGUGCACAUCUGGACUUUUCACAAGAAAAUGGACAAAGUAGCUUUGGGAAUAAAAAAUAGAAAAUGUUUAUGGUAUCAAAACCUAGUUAUGUUUUAUUAUAGAAGGAAGAAAAAAAAUGAAUGAAUUAUAUAUAUCUAUAUAUAGUAAGGAUCAAUGUGAGGUAAAAUCCCAAGAAUAUUAUCAAAAAUAUUUUGGUAAAUUAUUAUUAUUAUUAUUUUGGUAAUAUAUAUAUAUUCUUAAGAAGUAAUUGGUCCACUUUUCUCUCAUAUUUGGAUUAACUAAUUAACUUGAUUUCCGCCUUAAAGAACCAAUUAGUGUCAUUUCAAAUAUAAAUCAAUAUCAAAUAUCAAUGUUGAUGAAGAGUGGGUACCAUAUCAAAGUGGUAGAAGUAUCUUAAGGCCCUAUCACCUUUGUCAAGAUGUAUGUGUUGGCCCUACCACCUUAUCACCUUUGUCAAGAUGUAUGUGUUGACCCUACCACCUUUGUGAAGAUGUAUGUAUUAAAAUCCUUGAAGUUUUAUCAUACAAACUAAAACAAUAAGUGGAAAUAUAUCAUAACCCAACAAUUGUUUUUUAGGAGAUGAGUAGUCCUUUUCAACUUAGCUUCACAUUCAAAGAUAUUUUGUUUAGCAUAAAUCUAUAUUCAAAGAUUAUAUAUCUAUAUAUAUAUAUAUAUAUAUAUAUAUUCCAAACAUAAAUCAAUCUCAAAUAUUAAUAUUGAUAAAGAUUGGGUAUCUACCAUAUCAAAAUGGUAGAAGUAUCUUAAGGUCAUACCACCUAUAUCAAGAUGAAUGUGUUAAUAUCCUCAAAGCUUUGUCAUUUGAAUUAAAUCAGAAGGUGAAGUAUAUCUUAACAGAACAAUUAUUUUUCUAAAGAUGAGUAGUCCCUUUCAACUUAAGUUCACAUUCAAAGAUAUUUUAUAUUGUAUAUGCCUAUAUUAUAUAUAUUUAUAUCCACUCAUAUCUUAUUCUUUUUUCUUUUUUUUAUCAAAUCCACAUCAACAAUGUCUCUUGUGCAAACAUUGAAAAAAUCGUCAAACCCAUUAAAAAAUCAUUAAAUUUUUUUACUAAUUUUGAUAUACUAAUUUAAUUUGAUAGGAAGAAAUCCUAGUAGUUAAUUAUGUUUUUAUUCCUUGAUCAUUUACACUUUCGUAUGAUCCAUCAAAUUCAUCUUCCACAAUUGGUCUACUUCUUAGUUAAUUUUGUUUACGAAUUUUAAUAUGAUCAAAAUUAAUUUUAAAAUCUUAGGUUAUGUUUGGUUUAAAAAAAUUGAGAGAAAAUAUAAGGGAAGAAAAAUAAAGAGGAAAAGAGGAAGGAAAGAAAAAUGAAUGAAAAUAAAAUAGAUUUAAAAUUAAUAAAUUAUUUUUAUAUGUUAUUUUAUUUUAUUUAUUUUUUUAAAAAGAAAACAAAAUAAAAUAAAACAUGUGUAACUCCUUAUUUGGAAAAAUAAAAUAAUAAAAUAAGUGUAUGGAUUAAGAAUGAGUUUUGAGGGUCAAGUUCCCUAUAGGGUAAGCCUUAGCAUACCUCCAAACCCAUUUGUUUACAAUCUCUAAUAAACAAUAAGAGAUACUUUAACAUUUAAUUAGUCAAUCAACGGAUAGAAAAGAAAUUAAGAAACUUGAUGCCUCACGUACAAAGAUUAGAAAGUGGUUGGAACCACUCAUGAGAAAAUCAUUAAAUUUUUUCCUUUUUAUUAAUGUAUAAUCAUCAAUAUAUUUUUCUACUUUCAAAAACAAAAAUAAAACUAGAAUUAAGGAAGAUAUUAAUUUUUUUUAAAGGAAGAUAUUCAAUAUUUGUUUAAAGUUAAAAAAAUGUAAUUAAAAUUUUAUUUAUAUGUUCUAUUUUUAAAAAUAGUAUAAACAAAUGUAUGAAUACAUAUUUCUUCUCAUUUUUCCGUUUUGGUAUUUUCUUUCUCUUUUUUAUUUGAUUGGUCUAUUCAAUGGAUUUCAUUGAUUAUUAUUGAUUUCUUAAGUAGUAAUUGAUCCAUUUUUAUCUCAUAUUUGGAUUAGCUAAUUAACAUGAUUUCCAUGGUAAGGUCCCAACUAGUGACAUUUCAAAUAUAAAUCAAUAUCAAAUAUUAAUGUUGAUAAAGACUGUGUAUCUACCAUAUCAAAGUGGUAGAAAUACCUUAAAAUCCAAAUAACCUUUGUCAAGAUAUAUAUAUAUAUAUAUAUAUAUAUAUCUAUGUGCGUGUGUGUGUGUGUUGGUCCUAGCACCUUUGUUGAGAUGUAUGUGUUAAUAUUCUUGAAACUUUAUCAUAUGAAUUAAACAACAAAUGGAAAUAUAUCAUAAUACAACAAUUGUUUUUAUGGAGAUGAGUAGUCCAUUUCAACUUAGGUUCACAAUCAUAGAUAUUUCCGUAUAAUUUAUGUCUAUAUUCAAAGAUAUUUAAUGUACAAUAUUGGUUCUAAUUUUUUUGGUAAUACAUAUAUAUAUAUUGAGAAGUAAUUGGUCCACUUUUCUCUCGUAUGUGGAUUAACUAAUUAACUUGAUUUCCACCUUAAAGAACCAAUUAGUGUCAUUUCAAAUAUAAAUCAAUAUCAAAUAUUAAUGUUGAUGAAGACUGGGUACCAAAUCAAAGCAGUAGAAGUAUCUUAAGGCCCUAUCACCUUUGUCAAAAUGUAUGUGUUGGCCCUACCACCUUACCACCUUUGUCAAGAUGUAUGUGUUAACCCUACCACCUUUGUGAAGAUGUAUGUUUUAAUAUCCUCGAAACUUUAUCAUAGGAACUAAAACAAUAAGUGGAAAUAUAUCAUAACCCAACAAUUGUUUUUUUUUUUUUUUUUUUUGACAACAAUCACUGUAGAUCUUAAGCUUAGAGACGGAUAGUGCGAGUGCGAGGUCCAAUCUAGAUAGAGUGGCUUUGUACUCGGCUUCGUUGUUUGAUGCGAGGAAUCCGAGUUAGAUGGCCUGCUCUCACCAGUUGGAGAUUGUAGUAGCAAUCCCACUCUGGAUCCUGACGACUAAGAGGCUCCAUUGACUUGUAAGGUCCAUCACUCCGUCUUGUCCGAUUCUCAGUCUCGAGAGGGUUGUUGGGGAGACUCCACCACAAAGUCAACCAUGACUUGCCCUUUCAUGGACAGCCUAGGCUAAUAUUCGAUCCCAUACUCGCUCAACUCUAUGGCCCAUUGCAGCAUUCUUUCGGACUUAUUCGGUUUGUGUAGGGUGCUUCGCAAGGGCUAGUCGGUAAGCACGACUAUUGGGUGAGCUUGAAAAUAUGGGUGGAGCUUCUGGGCGGCACUCCGCAAGGCUAAGGCAAUUUUUUCUAUCUUUGAAUAUCUUGUUUCUGCAUCGGCCAUUGCUCUGGUGAUAUAAUAAACAGGCUUCUGCUCCUUGUGUGAUGGACAACGAAACAAGACGACGCUAACCACUCAAUCCAAUACUGCUAAAUACAUGUACAACCAUUCGGCAGGCUGAAGGCUGCUCAAGAUGGGUGGUUGUGUGAGGUACUAUUUGAUUUUCUUGAACACGCCUUGGUAGUUAUCCGUCCAUCCAGUCGCGUCGGCUUUCCUUAGCACCAGGAAGAAAAGUUGUAGUUUGUCUGUGAAUCGGGCUAUGAAACGUCCUAGUGCGAUGAGUUUGCUAGUGAGGCGUUGCAACUCCUUUUUGUUUUUGGGGGCGGGUGCCUCCAUGACUGCUUUAAUUUGAUUCGGGCUGACUUCUAUUCCUCUUUAAGUGACCAUGAAUCCCAGGAAUUUUCCCGUGCUUACACCAAAGGCGCAUUUGGAUGGGUUAAGUUUCAUGUCGUAUCUCCUCAGUAAGUGGAAGACUUUUUGCAGGUGGUGGGUAUGAUCUUCUCUAGUUUUUUUUUUUUACCACUAUGUCAUCAAUGUAUACCUCCACUGUGCGACCAAUCAAGGGCUUGAAGAUCUUUGUCAUUCGUCUUUGAUAGGUGGCGCCAACGUUUUUGAGUCCGAACGACAUGACCUUGUAACAAUAAAGUCCAUGCGACGUUAUAAAGGCAGUUUUUUCUUCGUUCGCGAGGGCCAUGGGAUCUGAUGGUAUCCGGAGAAGGCGUCUAGAAAGGAGAGCAUCCCUUGCCCGGUAGUGGAGUCCAUAAUUUGGUCUAUCCGUGGCAACGGGAAGCUAUCUUUUGGGCAUGCAUUGUUGAGGUUGGUGUAAUCAAUGCACACUCGCCACUUCCCUUCCUUUUUGAGGACUACCACCACAAUUGCCAACCAUUCCGAGUGCUCAACUUCCCUGAUGAACCCAACAUUCAAUAACUUAUCCACCUCAUCUUGAAUAAUCUUCUGUCUAUCCGGAUGAAAUCGUCUAACCUUUUGUUGAACAGGUCUUGACGAGGGCAAGAUGUUAAGUCGAUGGGAGGCAACUGAUGGGUGGAUCCCAAGCAUAUCGAAGUGGGUCCAUGUGAAAACGUCUUGGUUUUGUCAAAGCAUCUCCUUGAUGUUCUGAGUCUCUUCGAGUUCCAAGAGGGAACUAAUAUAGGUGAGACGACCAUUCUUCUCCGAGAUUUGGAUGGUUUGCAAGGGAUCUACCACCGGGGGAUCUUUAUCCGUCGGGUACUGUAAUUGCUAUUGGUCGGGUGCAUUCGCUUGCUCAGGGAGCAACUCGCGAUCGUUACUAGGUCCGGCCUCUCGUGCUAUUUGAUAGCACUGACGGGCUGCUAACUAGCUACCAUAUAAAUCAAUCUGCCUGUCUUCGGUCAGGAAGCUCACCAUCUGAUGGUACGUGGAAGGGAUGACCUUCAUGUAGUGAAACCAGGUGCACCCCAAAAUGGCGUUGAAGGAGGAUAGAUCUUCCACUAUUGAGAAUUGUACGUUGAGGAUGACUAAGCCUGCUUGGAUCGAUGACACAACGUUUCCAAGAGAGGUUGUUGCAGUUCCAUUGAAUCCUGACAAAAUCCGUCCCGGGGUCUCUAGGCUAAAGGGCACGAUUCCCAUUUGUUUGAUUACUAAUACUUGCAAGAGCUCGAUGGAGAUGCCUAGGUCGACCAAGAUCCGCCUUACGUCGAAGUCUCCAAUCCCAAGAGACAGGAUAAGGGUGUCUUGGAGUGGUUGCAAUAUUCGUAUGGGGUCUACUAGAGGAAAAAUGAUUGUCCCAUCUAUUGGACGGGCGUUCCUGCUAGUUAAUCCGGGCCGGAUGGAGUUGAUACGUUCGCGUACCGAAGCGGCCUACAGCAGCCUUUGCCUCUUUCUCUUGGAGUCGUACUCUUCAUCCAAGGGUCCACCAUGAAUGUAGUUAAUUAUGGCCCUAGGGGCGAUCGGAGCUGAGGUGACUCCGGAGGCUUGACUCCGAGAAGUCUCCUCCCUUGGCUUUUGAGCGAACGUACUGCUUUAGGUGUCCUGCUCUUAUAAGCUUUUCUACCAAGUAAUGGAGACUCCUACACUGUUCCGUAGUAUGUUCAUGCUCUUUAUGAUAAGCACAUUUCCUGUUAUAAUCUCUCUUGGUUGGGUCCGCUUUGAGGGGUUCAUGUCACCUAAAGUCGGACAGCUCGCAGAUCAUUGGAAGAAGCUUCUCAUAUGAUAUGGUAAGGGGUGUAAGCAGUGGCAGCUUUGACUGACUUUGUUCACCUUGUCUACAGCCGGGUGGCCUCUGCUAGUUCGGAGGUUUGGAACUUCUUGCCACGUCAUUCCUGGUCGGCUGUCCGGUAACCAGGAUUUGUUGGAUGGCUGCGCAUACAGCAUCUUCCAGCAUUGAGUAUUUGUUCGCGCGCCGGAACAAGUCAUCCAUAGUUGUGGGAGGUUUUUUAGUGAGUGAUUCCAAGAAUGGUGUGCCCGGACAUAUGCUCCGCUUAAAAAUUUGGAGGACAACAUCCAUGCUAUAGGAUUCUAGUUGUAGUGCAACUUGACCAAAUCGUUUCACGAACUCCCUCAGGGAUUCAUUUUCCUGUAUUUUUAUGUUUUGCAGGGUGCUAAUAUUCUAUUUAUGUCAUGCGGAACACAGGUAUUGUCCCACAAAGGCUUCUGAUAGAUCCUAGAAGUUAUUAAUAGAAUUCACAAGGAGUCGAUGAAACCAUGAGAGAGGCUGGUGGGGAACACCUUGCACAACAUUGCGGCAUUCCCUAUGUCGAGUGUCAUGAGUUGUUGGUAGUGCAUGAUGUCGUCAAACGGAUCGCUAGACCCGUCAUACGUAGAAAAUUUUGGCAUGAGAAACCCUCUUAGGGGCUCGUAAUUGAUAAUACGCGAGCUAAAAGGUGUGGAGAGCAUGUCAUCCAAUUGCCUAUUGAUGGAGCCCGAGGGGGCUCAUUUGCUGAAUUUCCUCCGACUUGUCAUAGUGCUUGGUGUGGGGGAUUGCCCUGUGUGAUGGGUGCGACCGCGGGACUAGGAUACGUCUCCCGGGUCGCGGCUGUAGGUGGCCUAUCCUUACCAGGUGCUUGUGGUCCCAACCUCACACGCAUUGUGUCAGAUAACUGUGGUCUCUUGUCGCGUUGUCUCUUUGACGAGACACAAGUGGAGUCCGAGCUUUCAUCAUAUGGAGCGUGAUAUGUAGGUAAGGGUCGUUCACUAGGCCGUUCAUCGCGCAUAUCAAGAGCGAUCUCGAUGACUUCAAGAUACAUUGUCUCCUGGUUAUGCUUAGAGUUUGUCCCUUGGCCUCUCGGUCGCUGGUCGUGAGGAGGUCCCGAGGAUGAAACCUGGAUUCUUAACACAUCGUUUUCUUCCUUAAGCCUCCUUGUUUCUUGGAGUAGGGCCUGCACUUGCCGCUCACUUUCCAGCUUUCGUUUUUCCAUACUUUCGCGCCAGUCAAAAUAACCCUCAUCACCCAUGGCUGAUGAACAACUUCUAGAAGGUGUGGACAUCUUCGUAAAUGUUGUUUCCCACAGACGAUGCCAAUUGAUGCCGAGAGGACCCAGAGUCACUGUAGCUCCCUAAAGUACUUGCCUCCUCAACUGAGAGCGAUGCUUCCUUCCUUUGCCCUGCAAAAGAUGUCCAGAUAGGUGGUCCGGACACACCUUCCAAAGCUUUUGUUAGUUUGGCGGUCAAACAUAUUGAUAUUUUUGGGCCCUUUUUUUAGGAAUGCUUACCCUCUCUUGACUGGGUCGUCGGGGGCCUUUUAUAGUGUCUAGAGCCCCGUCACUUUGAAUGUGGGAAGGCUCUUUGACUUUUACAGUCAUGAUGGUGCUCAAAGGGUGGCAGAGCCGUAUUAUCCUGCAGGCGGCUAACAGAAAUUGUUUGGGGGGGGGGGGGGGGGGGGGGGGAGGGGGAAUUUUUCCCCCCCCCAUUUUUUUUCCCCCAAAGGGGGGAAAGGGGGGGGGGAAACAAGUCCCCCGAAAAAANNNNNNNNNNNNNNNNNNNNNNNNNNNNNNNNNNNNNNNNNNNNNNNNNNNNNNNGAGAUGACAACUGUCGAGUUCGGACUAGACGUCCGAAUAGAGGGUGGGACGUGCCAUGUGUCCACCGGAGGAGUGCCUUGUGAGCCCAGGGUGGCCUACCACAUGUACGUUUAAGGGUCGUCCCUACAGUAAGAACAUAGGUAGAAAACGGUACUUACAUAUAGUUUUGGAAAAUAAAAGAAAAAAUGAUAAGGAGUUUCAAAUUCAUUUAUUUAAUUUAGAGUAUAUUGAAAAAAUCAUUUUUUUAUAUUUUUGCUGGCAUAUCAAUUUAGUCCCUAAAUAUUUUUAAAACAAUAUUACCCUUAAUCAAUGCUCAAAUGUCAAAUGAUCUCUUUUAUUGAAAAUUUUCAUCAAAACUUUACAUAAAACUCCCUCAUAAAAUAUACAUUAGCAUGAAAUUUUAUAUGAUAUAUUGGGAUCUGUCCAAGUUUUUCGUGCUUAGUCAUAUGUGUUUUUCCAUCUAGAUUUUAUUUUAUUUUAUUUUUAAAAAAAAAAUUCUUGUUCAAUUAAACUAAGUCAGAGCUAAUAUUGUGAGAGGUUGGACUAAACUUCUCACCGAAAAAAAAAAAAUUAAAAGUAAGUGAGUUUCUAGAUAUUGAAUCUGAAAUUAGUUAUACGAACAGAUCAAUCGAAAAAAAAAUGCUGAAGUAAAAAAAGUAAAAAGUCUUAACUUGGCAGUUGGAUUGAUGGUGAUAGGGCCUUUUUAAGGCUGCAAUGGAGAGGUUGUUGUCCAGUGGCCUUUAUUAACUCACAUCAUGGUUGUAAGGUAUUCCUUUUGUGACGCAUACGAUAUUUAGAGAUUUUUUUUGGCCUAUUUUCCUCUUUUUUUUUUCUUUGGAUGGGUGGUGGGGUAGAUUUUUUUGUUCCUCUUUUUUUCUUUCUUUUUAUUUUUUGCUUAUCGAUGAGGGAAAGAAAAAACAAUUUUAUGAAAAACUAGUCUAAAUCAAAGGGUUAAGUUCCUUAUUAGAAAUGUACUUCAAAAUAACAUAUCUUUUAGCCCUAAAAAAAAUCUUUGUUAAACAAGUAUUGAAGAUAAUCACAACAACUGAUUAAUUAAUCAUGAAUACAAAAAAAGUAUGAUAAACUUAUAUACAACAAAAAUUGGAUUGAUGGUGACAAGGCCUUUUUGUGGUUGCAAUAGAGAGGUUGUCCUUGAGCAAUUGUUGUCCACGGACCUUUAUUAACUCGCAAGGUAUUCCUUUUGUGACCCAUAUAUGGGUGGUGGGGUAGAUUUGUAUUUUUUUCCCCCUUAUUUUUCUUUCUUUUUCUUAUUUUUUUCUUUAUCUUUUCUAUUCAUUGACGAGGGAAAGGAAAAAAAGUAUGUGAAAAAUCAAUCUAAAUCCAAGGGUUAAGUUAUUUAUUAGAAAUGUACUUCAGAAUAGCAUAUCUUUAAGUUCUAAUUUUUUUUUUUUAGUAACCAAGUGGAGAAAAUUAUAACAAUUGAUUAAUUAAUCACAGAUAUCAAGAAAAGUAUGAUAAACCUAUAUAGAACAAUACAAAAAGGAAAAUAAGAUACAAUAAUAUACAACAUUGGUAAAGGAAAUACAUAAAUUAAUUUAUUAAAAUAUUUAGAUAAAUGAUUUGAUUAUUUCUAAAUAUUACAAGAUUUCUAAGAAAUUUUAAAAGAAUUUGACUCGCAUUAAAAACAAUUUCAAGUUAAUGAUAUCAAAAUUAUUUAUUCACAAAAAUUCAAUUUGUUCACAAAAGAUUUGAUUUUUAUUUUCGUUCAAAUUUAUUUCCAAAAUGAGUUUUGCUUGUUUUUGUUAAAAGAAUUUAUUGAACACAAUUUUAUAUAUCUAUAUAUAUAAAGAAUGUUUAAAUUUUAUCUAAUUUAUAAGAAUUUUUUUUUCUUUUUCUAAAAAAAUUACAAAUUUAUUUUUGAGAAAUAUUUUGAUUCAAUUUUUAUCAAGAAAAAUGAUUUUCUAUUUUUUUUAAAUAUUUGCAAAUUUAUUUAUAGAAAGGGAUUUCAACCUAAUUUUAUUAAAAGAAUUUCUACAACUUCUAUAUUUUAGAAAUUAUUCCCAAUCCAAUUUUAUUAAAAAAAUUAUAUUUAGGAAAUGAUUUUACAUCUGUAAUUGAAAAAGUAAUUUUGCAAUUUUUAUUUUAAAAAAGGAAUUUAUAGUUUUUUAUUUGAAAAACUGAUUUUGAAAAUUUUUUAUUUAGAGAAGUGAUCUUUUAUUUGAAAAUUUUCAAAUGAAAUAUUCCAUAGUUUUUACUUGAAAAAAUAAAAUAAAAUAACAAUUUUUAUUUAAAAAGAAUCCUAACAAGUUUUAUUUGAAGAAAUAUUCUAGAGUUUUUAUUAAAAAAAUAUUUUGUAAUUUUAUUUAAAAAAAAAAGGUGUUGAUAAAAUCAACAAAAGAGAUAAAAUGUGGACAUGUUGUGCAUUAUUAAGUUUUCGGUCCAAGCCACCUAACUUUCACUUAAAUGGGCUUCGGCCCCUUGUGCGCACAAGGCUCCCCACACCUCUGCUAAGGGGGGAGGGUUAGUAUAUAAAACACCAUUAAAGUACCCAUCACUUUCCACGGUGGGAAUCUUUUAUUUAUUUUUUAUUUUUUUCACAUUAAAACAAGGGUCUCCAAAAAGCCUGCGGCCUGCGGCCCGGCCUAGCGGGCUAAAGCCCGGCUCGAGCCCAGCAGGCCCGAGCCCAUUUCUGGAUGAGCCAGGCCAUGGGCUCCAAUUUAGGCCCGGCGGGCUGGCCCGCCACUUAAAAAAAAAUAUAUAUAUAUAUAUAUAUAUAUAUAUAUAUAUAUAUAUAUAUAUAUAUAUAUAAAUAUUCAAGAAAUAGAAAAUGCUACAUUAAUAAAAAUAUUCAUUGCUAACUAUUUUAUUCAUUGAAUGUAUACGUUACAUUUGAAAAUGUGGGAAAAGUUUGCAUCACUACAAAAUAAAUACAUCCCAACUAGGUUGACACCUACUUAUUUGUCAAUCAUUUGUAUUUUUCAACCACAAAAAUAAAAAUAAAAAUAUAACAUACAUUUAGUAAAAUAUUUUAAUCAUUAUCUCUUGGCGGUGAUGGCGAACUAUCGCAAAUCCAUGAAGAUCUUGAUGAUUUUAGUUUUUCCAUAUCGACAAGCAUAUUUUCUUCUUAAAUAGAAUCAAAUAUCAUUUUAUCUGCUAUUGCCCAGUCUUUCACACAUAUAUUUGCUUCAAUAGAAUCCGGCGCUAAGCUGCAUCGUUUAUCACUAACUACUCUUCCACCUGCACUAAAAGCAGCUUCUAAUGCAACUGUACUCACAGGAACUGUUAGUACAUCACGAGCAAUGAUAGAAAGCACAGGAUAUUUGUGUUGUUGUGAUUUCCACCAUAUUAAAAUAUCAAAAUUUUCAUCAUCUUCAAAUGAAAUUAAAUCAAUAUUAAGAUAUCUAUCUAAAUCAAUUGUGUUGUUUGGAGAACUAUUUGUUGUCUUCUUUCGACUUUUUAACAUUUCUAGAGCUCCUUUAUAAAAAGAUGAAGAACUUGUAGAUGUAGGUGGUAAUUUAAUGAAACUAAUAUCAUCACCAUAUUUUUCUUUAUAAUAGUUAUAUAAAUUAUAUAAUAAUGAAUUUAUUUCAUUUUUAAUUUCUUCAAUUUUUAUUUGGUCAUUAAAAUAAAUAAUUGUUAACCAUUCAUCCAAAGCUUCAAAUUUCAAUCUAGGGUCCACAAUUAAACCAAGAUAAAAAAUUAAAGGUAUUUCUCCCCAAUAUUUUCUAAAUUUUUCUAUCAUUGCAAAUAUUGCAUCAUUAAAUAUAUCCAAAUUUAAAUAUUUUUGAAAUACAAUAAAAAUAUUAGUUAUUUGCAUGACAACUCGGUUUGAAGAUGGAUAAUAUACACCACAAAUUUUUUUUUGUUGAAGUAUCAAAUACUUCAAAAAGAUCUCUUAAAAGAUCUGCAAUAUGCCAAUCAUAAUCAUUUAAUACAUCAAUAUCUGCUUCACAAUCAUUGUUAAUUAAUUGUUUUUCAUAUAGUUCUACUACUUUUCUAUAUUUUGUAAUAGUUUGUAAAAGUUUAUAAGUGGAAUUCCAUCUAGUGGGCAUAUCCAAAUUUAUAUUUCUUUUUUUCAUAUUUAACAUUUUGCAACAAUAAAAAAAUAAUUCAUGUUUUGCUUGAGAACUAUUAAGACCCGCAACAAUGCCUCUAAUUUUUUAUAUUGUAUCAUCAAUGUGUUUUAAUCCAUCUUUUACAAUUAAAUUUAAAAUAUGUGCACAACAAUGCAUAUGAAAUAUUUUACAUUGAUCUUCUUUUAUUUGUCAAUAUCGUUUUAAUCUAGAUACUGCUGCAUCAUUAUUAGAAGUAUUAUCUAAUGUUAUUGUAAAUAUUUUAUCACGAAUGCCAAAAUCUAUAAUUUCAUCAUUUAUUAAAGAUGCUAUAUUUUUACCAUUAUGUGGAGCAUUUAUUAUUUUAAAUGAAAUAAUUCUUUUAUUUAAUUUCCAUUCAUUAUCAAUAUAAUGAGCAGUUAUACAUAAAAAACCACUAUGAGUUAAAGAUGUCCAAAUAUCAGAUGUUAAACAAAUUCUUCCUUCAAAAUUUGCAAAAAAAAAUUUUAAAAUUUCUUUUUGUGUUUCAAAAUUUUUUAUAAGAAUUCUUUUAACUGUAUUUCCAGAGCAACCUUGAAACUGAGGAUUAACAGCUUGUUGCAUUGUUCCCGUAAAAUCAUGAGUUUCCAUGAAAUUGAAAGAUUGUUAUGCUCUUAUUAUAUAACCAAUCAUUUCUUCACGACAAUAAGAUUCAUCAUAACAAAAUGUUUUUAAAUUUCCACUUUCAUCUUUACCUAAUUGCAUAUAAUUUCUAAUAUCUACAUUAUUUUUAGUUUUACAAUUUUCAUGAUGCCUUUUUAAAUGACUUGUACCUGCAUUUGAGCCACCACUAAGAAGUUUGUUACAAAUUUUACAUUUUACAUUUUGCUUUUAUUUCUUUUUUAUUAUUUUCUAAAUUUAUUUCUAUUCUAUAAAAAAAAUUCCAUAUAUUUGAAGUAAAUUUUUUGCUAUCACAUGCAUUAGAUGAAGAACAAGAACCACUUGCCAUAAUUAUAAUUAUUGAUAAAAUAUUAUGCUAAAAAUAAUAAAUGUAAAAUUAAAAUGUAACAAAUAAAUAAAAGUAAAGGUGAAGUAUGUUACUAAAUUGGAGAACCGAAGCAGAAAUUCCUUCAAAUUUGAACUCUUUGAACCACCAAUGCUUGUUUUUCACCACUAAUAAUAUUGAAUAAUUUGAGACAAAAUGCAAUAAUCGGAAAUAUUGUGGAAUGGGAAAGAGCUUAAGAGUUGAGAGAAUAGAAAAAAAUUGAGGGUAUUUAAUAUUUAUAGGGAUUUAAAUAUUAGGAUUUAAUUUUUUUUUAUUUUAUAAUCAAGACUGUUCAACGGUCAUAAUAUUGAAUUGAGUGGCAAGCAUGUUCAACGGUCAUGUGACCGUUGAACAGCCAGUUCACUUUUAUUUUUUUUCAAAAAUCAUACAACAUUUCUAAUAUAUAUAUAACUAAUGCAAAAUAGUUACACAAAAGAGGGCUAGCUCAGUUGGUGGCUAGCUCCCUUGUGGAUCCAUAAGGGAAGGGGUUCGAAUCCUCUUUCCUUCCCGGCCCGGCCCGUUGACCAGUCAACGGGCUCAAUGGCCCGCCCCGUUGACCAGUCAACGGGCUCAGUGGCCCACCCCGGGCUAGGCCAUGGGCCUUACUCCUCCGGGCCGGGCAGCCCGGCCCGGCCCGUUGGAGACCCUUACAUUAAAACACCCACACACACAAGCACUCUACCAACCAUUACUGGGCAGAUUUUUUUGGAUACCUACCUUAUAUAGGAUGGAUUUGAGAUAAACUUAAACAAGUCUAGCAAAUUUCAAUAAAAUUCUUAAAACCUGAGAUUGGUCUGAGACGGAUUCAAAUUUGACUAUAUCCUACCUUGAUAAUUGUUGUAGUAUGUGAUUCAUAUUUGAGUGAAAAGACAUAUGAAGAAAAAUAGGCAAAAUGUCCGAGCAAAACAGAGUGGAACAUAGUGAAUAUCCUAUUUCCCUGUUCCUGUGGACAUAGACAAUUAAUCGAACCACAUUAAAUCUCUGUGUUUUUCUUUCUCGUUUUUUUUUCUAUUUUUUUCAUCAUUAAUCAUUGCACGGAUUCCAAUAAUAAUAUAAUACAAAAUAAAAAAUUAUUUUAAUUGAUUUUUUUUACAAUUUAAAAUUUUUAAAGUUAAAAAAAAUAAAAAUAUGUAAAAAUAUGAUAAAAUAAAAAAGUUAAAUGGAGCUGGGUGGGGUGAGGCAAAUAUAAGAAUUUCCUACACCUGUCCCAUCCCUAGGAAUGGCAACGGGGCGGGUUCGGGACGGGUCGCCCCCAUCCCAACCCCGCCCCGUUUAUUUAAAAUAAUUCCCAUCCCCGUCCCAUUUAAAAAAUUAAACGGGGCGGGGUAGGGCGGGUAUGAUAAAUUCCCAUACCCGUCCCGCCCCGAGCAGUCGUGAAGUUGGUCAGGCCCAGGUGGUAACGCAACUCAUCCUCAGAGGCAGCGUAGGGUAUGUCUAUCUUGUUUCCCAGAAUGAGAAAUGGAACAUAUGCCAGUGACUCAUCAGAAAGGAGGGCAUCCAACUCCCUCUUUGACUCGGCAAAUCUUUCCUUGUCAUACGCAUCAACCAGGUACACCACAACAUCCACCUUGGCAUAAUAAUCCUUCCAGACUCUUCGAGCGAUCUGAUGCCCACCCAAAUCAAAGGCUUUAAACUUAAUUUUCCCAAUUCUCAAUUCCUCGGACGUUGGGUGUUGCGUUGGUUGAUGCUGAACUAAUCUCUCAUCCUUCAACAUAUGAAGCAACGUCGUUUUUCCCGCAUUAUCAAGCCCUAAAAAUAAGAUCUUUGCCUCUUUUUACCAUAGCCCCAAAGAUGCGAGAAGUCCAUAGAACCAAUCGAAAAGAAUCAUGGUGUUCCGACAAGAUUCGCGACUCAAAACGCGGCCAAUUCACCGGAACUAAGCCGAAAACCACAAACUUAUCAACGAACUUGUCGGAAAAUCCCACUGGAGGUAGAGAUUCAUAUAUUCAUAUAUUAUAAACAGGGCGGGACGGGGCGGGAUGGGGCGAUACCCGAACCCGCCCCAAACCCGUCCCGGGUUUUAAAAAAAAAUUCCAACCCCGUCCCAAACCCGUUUCUAAAAUUUGAACCCCGUCCCAAUAGGGACGGGGCGGGGCGGGUACCCGAAAAAACCCGCCCCAUUGCCAUUCCUACCCAUCCCUCCCCAUUUAAAUAAAAAAAUAAAAAGGUUAUUUUUUUUCUUUUUAUGAAGAUGAAAAUAAAUAUAAAUAAAUGCAUGAGGUUAGGAUGGAGUGGCCAUCCGAACUCAUUUUGUUGUCGUCCCAAAGCAAGAGCCUCAUUUUAUUUGUUUUUAAUUUAUUUGUCAACAAGAAUGCAGAGGUACAUCUUUCUUUUUUUUUUCAAGGGCCGUAAAGGAUGCAACUAUGGGGAGUUGUAGUCUGCUCCAGGACCUCGAAGAAGUUGCAAGACUGGAUCACUUUCUGAUACAAGCUCUCCAAUGGUAGCCAAGUUAUCAGUGAGCAUCUUCAACUUGAGUAUGUAUUCCAUCAUGGAGAGGGAACCUUUCCGAGUUAUCUGAAAUGCUAGCCGAAGCUGCAUUACUUGUGCUAUUGAAGAUACGGAGAAGAUCUUCUCUAGAGCCAUCCAUGCUGUGUGAGAAGUCUGAUAUCCAAUUAUUUGUCCCAUAAUUUCGAGAGUAAGGAAAGAGGAGAUCCAACUCAGGACCAUGCGUACCAAAACAUCACCAACCAAGGAAUUCUGAAUUAUUUUCAUCAAUGGUAUUCAUCUUAGGAAGACGGAUUUUCAGUCCUUCACUGUGUGUUCUUCAAAACUAUUAGUAAAGAUGACAUUGUCUAUUUGUAUACACCAGCGAAUGGAAUCAUCUCUGUUGAAUUUGAUGGGAAGUGAAUGAUUCAACAUGUUGUAAUAGCUCUGAUGCCAUGAAAGAACUGCAGUCAAGAAGAACAACCUAUCUAACUAUCUAACAGAUUAGUUUCUAUUCUGGUGAAGCUUCUAAAUGCUGUUCUGUUGAUGCUUCUGGAUGACUAUCAACCCUGGGUAGUAAAUCUCGUCCUUUCAUUUUCUUUUCCUUUCUUUUCGAUGCCCUCUCUUGUGAAUGCGCCUGACUCAACCGCUGGUAAAUGGCACUAUUUGAAAUGUGCACUAGGCUUUUCACAUGCGCUUCAAUCAAAUGGUUCAUAUGCAAUAACUAGAAAUAUCAUAAGGAAAGGAAGAACAAACGGAACUGAUAUUGAUGAAAAGAAAAGCUAGGAUCGUGCCCUAUUGAGUGAAAAGAUAACAUUUGGACUCAUAGGCUCAGUGGGAGACUUUCAAAUACCCUUGCUAAAAAGAAGAUUGAAAUACAGAGAGUUGGGACCUUCAACUCAAACCCUAGACUUAGUCCGUUAUAACAUCAAAUCCUACCAACAUGUCAACAAUCGGGCAUGUUCAUCCUUGAAACAUCUUUCAUUGGCAUGAGUUAGAGUCCUCUCCUACCGGAACCUGGCAGUGGACUAUUAUUUUUAAGAUAGUUCACCCUUUUUUUAUAGUCCAUUGGGGGCUAUUGUGGGCUAUGUCAAACAACAGAUCUUUCCAUUAAUGGUUCCAUUCUCCCAUCGAGAGGCUAUGAUACUAGUAAGUGUUAACCAAAACCCCACACAUACAAAUAAAAUGUAAAAAAAAUACAUGACAUUUUUAAUAUGAUUUAGCAAUCAAUGUGAUCCUUACAUCAACAAAGUGCUACUAAUUAAAAAUAAAUAAAAAAUAGAGGUUAUGAUGUUGAAGCUAUCAAAAAACACCUCUUAAUUGUGGUUACACUCUCUUUUUAAAAAAAAAAACCUAAAAACAUAAGAGGGUUAAAUAUAUAAUGGGAGGAAACUCGUGAUUCAUCAUAUUAAAAAAAAUCUCUAUAUUCAUACUUUACAAUUCAACAGUAAGAGUUCUAUUCUUCUCCUCUGGACUCAACUUGGUUUAUGAAAUAGAGGUCUCUUUUUUAAGUGUGUGGAAAGUCCAGUUUCAAACUAUCUAGAACUAUAAUGCCUCUUUACAUAUAUACUUGGAGAAAAAAGUUAAGCCUAUCCAUCUCAUUACUCUUUCGUUUCUACAAUCUUCAAAUCCUUCUUACCUUACCCUCAAUAUCAAUGUUUGUCUAAUUUGUGGUCUCUACCUAGCCAAGUGAUCUUUCCUAUUUGCCACUCUAUAAUGCAUGCUCGUGUUGUUUUACUCUUCUGGAGCCAUUUCUCUUUCAACUUCAAUAUUCCCCUAAAAUACUACCAUUUUUAAAAAAAAUCUAUACCAUUUAUAUUUUUUUAUUGAUAUUACUAUUUAUUAUAAAUAUCCAUUUAAAGUAAAUUUAAAAUGUAUGCAAAAUUUAAAACAUUACAAUUCAUUUUUAAAAAUUUUAAAAUGUUAUUAUUCAUUUUAUAUAUAUAUAUAUAUAUAUAUAUAUAUAUAUAUAUAUAUAUAUAUAAAUCUUAGUAUUUAUUUAAAAAUUUGACAAUAGGAGGAAUUUGACAAGAAGAAAAACAUAUCUGCUUUUCAAUGAUAGCAAGAAAAUAAAAGAAAAAAAAUUCAAUGAACAAGCAAGAAUUAGGGAAUUUUUUCUUGGACAUUUACUUUUAGGAGGAAUGAAACUUGGGUAAUGGGAUUAGCUGGGCUGGUUUGGGCCAGUUUGGGCCUAUUUUUGGGCUCACCCAAUUAGUGUACAUCUACAAUUCCUACUAUUUUGAACCCUAAAGUUUGUAAUCCACAAUUUCUUUCAACUCUUUAUUUUUUCUUUUAUCAUUUGGUUUGAAGACAUGCUAUCAAUCUCUCUCCAAUUCUCGAGUCUUCCUUUUUCCUAUGUCAUGAUCAAUUAAUACACUCUUAGUCACAAAAUGAUAUAUAUCAAAUUCUUUUGAAAGAAUUAUAAUGACCAUAAAUUUCAUAAUCAUAAAUGUUUAGGAUCACUCAAUGGGACAUAUUACUUCAGAUUCAUGAGAUAUUAUGGUGUCUCUAUUAAGAGUAUCUAUUAUUACUUAUGUAAACCACCAAUAACUAUAAUUAAUUAAUUUUUCACGUCUAUGACUUACUAUUCAUUGUAUGCAAGUUCUUUAUGAAUUGAUGUCCAUUAUUCAACAAGGUAAUAACUAUCAAUCUCUCUCCAAUUCUUGAGUCUUCCAUCCACCUAUAUCAUAAUCAACUAACAUACUCUUAGCUAUGAAUAACAUAUGUCUAAUUCCAUUGAAAGAAUUCUAAUGACCAUAAAUUUCAUAAUUAUAAAUGUUUAGCAUCACCCAAGGGGUCAUAUUAUCUCAAACUCAUGAGAUAAUAUAAUGUCUCUAUUUAGAGUAGAAAUUAUUACAUGUUUAAACUACCAAUAACCUAAUACAUAGGAAAUAUAUGAUAAUUUUGGGAUCUCACCCAAAGGCCAAAGCCACUAAUGACCUAAACUCUAGUGCAAUAAUCUCUUAAGAGUAGAACCAAUGCAACAUAUUAUAAUGGAGAAGUCAUAACAAUUCAAUAGUCAUUCAAUCACAACUCUCUAUGGAUUAUGUUCGAUGUUUAAGAACACACAUUAAUACAUUUACUAUGCGAAAACCAUCAACAAUGAACAAGACUAGUCACUCCAUUAAUACAUACAUAUAUAUAUAUAUAUAUAUAUAUAUAUAUAUAUAUAUAUAAUUAUGAGAUGUUGUCUCUCUACUCUAUAAGAUUAUAUAUAUGUGGGACUCAUAUGGAGUUAAUUUCUGUCCAUUUAUGUUUUGAUUUUAAUUUUUUGAUUUAAUUUAAAGAUAUGCAUGCAACCAUAAACGUUCAUCUCUUAGAUUAUGCCACAGUAAAACAUAGAUAAAAACUAAAUUUAAGAGAUUAUUAAGACUAACAGCAUGAAACUUAGGAAUGUGCUUGUGAUGUAUAUUUUUAAAGUUCGUCUUCUAUAUUUUGUUGCAAAUUAUAUUGAAAAAAUUUGAGCUUGAUGCAUAUUAUUAUUUCCUUCCCUUUCCAUUAAAUUCUUUAAUUAAUGAAAUCUUUAUUAAUGAAUUCUAAUAUAAAUUCAGUCAUUAUAUUGAAAAACAAUUUACCUUAUUGUAGUUCUAUGAUGAUGUAGUUAUGCCCGGCUUUCACGAGUAACAACGAUUUAUCGUAGUGGUUGGAAGCACUUUCAACUGUACGUUUAUCGGUCAUCUAAUGCAAUCUUCCAAACGCAAUACAAAGAGAUGGUUCAAGAAAUCAAACAUGCUAAAGACAGAGGCUCGAUUACCAAGGGAAUUUCCAUGGGAAAAGAUUAGGCAGUGUUACCAAGAAAAGUUGAUUAUCCACUCUCUCUUUUGUUGUUUGGAUGGUGGUUGAGAAAACUUGUCUCCGUAAAUCAGUGGAUGAAAUAUUUCUCCUUUUUCUCUUCUCUUAAUUUUCUGUCCAAUGCUAGUGAUGGGAACAUUUGGAUAUGUUUUUACAAUGAUGUAGCGGGUUCGAAGUGAUCAAAUAGAUAAAAAGAGUGAAGUUUUAACAUUUCAUUUGGAUGUCACAAGAAUAAUACCAAAACAAAAAAAAAAAAAAAAAAAGAAGGAAAAAGACAAAAAUGAAUAAGGAAGGACUCCUAAAUUUUUAUUUAAUUUUCAGAGACUGAAUUUUUUUUUUUUAAAUGAUUGACCUCACUGGUAGUAGCUAAAGUUGCUAGCUAGUCCAUUUCUCACUUUGAAGCUUUGCUUAAGAUGUGUGUGGAUGAGGGCAUUUUUUUUUUCUCUCUCUCUUUUUCUUUUUUUUCUUUUUUAUUUUCUAGGCGAGGAGUAUUUGCUGAUAUAGUGGGAACAUUUGGAUACAAUCCUUUUGCAAUAAUUGAUAGGUUGGAUGUAAGAAAAUAAAUAGAAAGAGCUACACUAGCUCAUCACAAAACUAAAAGAACUAUAAAAUUUCAUUUAAAUGUUAGAAAAUAACAAGAAAUAAUUCUUAAUUUGUCUUAUUUGUUUUAUUUAUCUUUGGGAGAAUGAUAUAAAUUAAAGAAAAUAAAAUUGAUGAGCUCCCCAACUAGUUGCAAGUGAAGUUUCCAGCUUGUUUAUACUUCUCUUUUCUUUUGAAAUGAAUGGGUAACUUGAACGUGUAUUCUUUGAGUGAGAUUAGCCCCCAUUUGUAUUCACCAAGGGGAGAGUGGAGUACUUGUAGGUUUGGUGGGGACAUUUGGAUAUCGAUUUGCAAUUAUUGGAGAGGUUCAAAAUAAGGACAUGGAUGAAAAGAGUUACACAAGUUCACAAUCAAGUUUAUAGAUUUGUAUGAUUCCAUCUCGAAGCACAAAAAGAAAAAGAGAAAAGAAAUAUUUUUAAAUUAUUUUAUUUAAUUUUGGAAGAAUGAAUUAAAUUAAAGGAAAAAAAAUGUUGAGCUCAUUCGUACCUAAUAAAAAUGCUUUUUCAUUCUUCUGUUUUCGUUUAACGGGGUGGUGGAGAAAACCUGGCUCUCUAUCUAUUCAUUAAAUGAGUUUUCCCUCUUUUCUACUUGUUGGUGAGGAAAAGAUGAAGUAUUUCUUGGUUUGAAUUCAACGUUUAGUUAUGGUUUUGUAAGGAUUGGGUAGGUUAAAAGUAAUGAAAUAGAUAAAAAUUAAAUAAAUAUUUCAGUUUAAAGAUUUGUAAUAUUUCAUUUGAACAUUUAAUACAAUUUGUAUGCAAAACUAUACAAAAUAUUUACAUAAAUUCUUUUGGAUGUUGUUAUAAAAUUGUGACACAUAAAAAUCCUAUGUUUUUGUUCAAAGUUGGAAAAUAAUAUGAAGAGGAAAAAAAAAAAAGAAAAAGAAAGAUUCUUAAAAUUCUGCUUAAUUGUUGAGAGAGUGAAUUAAAUUAAGAACAAAAGUAAUUGAGCUGUGAUCAUGAUAGUAUGUAAAGUUACUAGUCCAUUUUUUUUACUUUUGUGAUUUUUCUUAAAGAUGAUUGGUAGAGAAAACUUGACUCUUUGUUCGAAUGAGAUUAGUCUUUUUCUUCUCUCUCCUUUUUACAACGAAGACUAGAGUAUUUGUUGAUUGGUGAGAACAUUUGGAAGCCGUUUUUCAAUAAUUGAUAGGUUCAAAGUAAGGAGACAAAUAAAAAGAGUCACACAAGUUCAUGAUGACGUUUAAAUUAAGAAUUGUAAAAUUUUAUUUAAGUAUUGGAAAAGAACAAGAAAUGGAAAAAAGAAAAAGAAAGAUUCUUAUGGCAUGUUAGGUAAUUAUUAAAAAAAAACAAUUAUGAAAAAUGGUUAUUGAGAACAAUUUUUGAAAUUAUUUUUUGAUUUUUGUAGAACAAAAAUCUGUUUGGAAAUCUAAAAUAUUUUUAAUCUAUUUUUAAUAUUUUUAAAUGUGUUUUAAAAAUAAUUUUUAUAUCUAGUGUUUUAUUUUUAAUCUUUCUAUAUAUUUGUAUAAUUAUUUAUUAAAACAACCCUUAAAAACAAGUGAAAACAAUAAUAAUAAAAAAAAAAAACAACUACAAUAUGUUUUCUAAAAACAUCAUAUUUUCUGUUCUUAAGAAUAUAAAACAUAAAAUAGUUUUUUGUUAUCAAAAGUAUUUUUUAUAUUUUUUUUGUUACGGAGAAGAGAAUACUAUUUUAAAAAAUAGUUCUCAAACAAACCCUUAAUUUUUUCUAUUUAGUUUUGGGAGAAUGGAAUUAAAAAAAAAAAUGGUUGAGCUACCUAGUUGCAAGUAAAGUUGCUUGUUCAUUCUUCAUUUUUUCUUUUGAAUGGCUAACUUGACUCUUUGUUUGUUUACUGGAUGAGAAUAGCCUGCCUCGCCCCCUUUUCCACUCACUAUUGGGAGAAAGUAGUACUUGCAGAUUUGAUGGGGACAUUUGGAUAUGGUUUUGCAAUUAUUGGAUGGGUUCAAAAUAAGGAUGGAAUAAAAAAAGAUAAAACAAAAAAAAGAAGUUACGAGAGAGAUAUGACUUAAAUGGACAUGUGAGUAUGAACAAUAAAUAAUUGAUGGAGUAAAUAAAGAGUGAGGAAAUAUGAAACUCGUGCUUCAGGGUAGAAAUUUAAAGAGUGAGGAAAUAUGAGACGUUUCAAGACACAAUAGUUAUAUUUAUUUCUAUCAUCUAUAAUAUUCUCUACUGUAUGAUAGAAUGUUAUCAUUUAUCCAUAAAGAUAAGUAUUGUUGGUCGAUGAAUCAUAUCAAACUUUUGUGUAUCUUCCAUUAAUAUGAGACUUUUUUUUUUAUUCUUCCAUUAAUUUGUUACAAUAUUAAAGGCCCAACAAGUAAGAGUACAACUUGGGUCUAAUACCAAUGUUAGAAAAAAUUAAUAUUAAAAAUAAUAUUAAAUAUGUUUUAUGGUAUGAACAACAUAUAUGCAAAUCCUAGAAAAACAACUUAACAGAUAAUAUAAAAACUAAUUAAAUUUGGGCAUACCUCGAUCCUACUCCCCAAAUGAUGCCCUCAUGAUACAAUAAAAAAGGAUCCCACAAUGGUGAAUACUAUAAGAGCAUGCUCGCAUAUCCACAAUCCAAAAAGGCACCAUUAAGGACAAAUGGUGGAAAAAGAAACAACAUUUUGUUUAUCUUUAUUUAUGCACCUUUAAAUUAAGAGUUCCUUUUUUUUUUUUUUCUUUUUGCGUGUGUAUUCUGAGUGUAGAGCAAAGAAGAGCAACUUUUGACUAUAGAAGAAAAAAGCAUAAUUGAAUUAGAACCAAGUUCUUAGCUGUUAUCUCUUGGCAGUCAUUAUAAUCAAUUAAUCCAUCUAGAAACAAAUAGUGAUCACAUGCAACUAUUGUCAGUAAUGGAAGUAACCUUAAAAAGGAAAUAAACAAUAUUUGAAUGACUUCUAUUAACUUCCUCUAGGGAACAUUGUACAUAUAUAUGCAAAGAGGAGUGUGGCUGGUAAUAUUAGCACCAUAAGUAAACUCAAGGUCUUUCUGAAUCAAUAACUCCACUAUAUCAGGGUGAUCAUACCGUACUGCCUCGUGGAAUGCUGUGUCUUCCUCCAUGUUGGUCAUUCUCAGCAUCACUUUAUCUGUUCCUAUCUCACUCUCCAUCUCUUUAAAGACUGCUUUUGCACCAUCGAAAAGGGCUACCACAACAUCAAUAUAACCUUUCCUGGCUGCAAGAUGAAGGAGAGUGUCACCUCUCAGAUUUGGGAGCUGCAACAGAGAUGAACAUAAAGGCAACCCAAGGAUCCAUCUAACACCGUCCACUUUACCAUAUUGGGCUGCAAUAUGGAGGACAGUGUGAUAUUUUGGGGUUUAAUGGGGUUGAAGUUGGGCAUCUGAGUACUUGGAUUUAAGGGUAUCAGUAUCGCCUUCAUAUACCGCCUUUUACAGAUCAUCAUCCAUAGGAGCGAUCUCCAUUUGCCUACCAUCAUCAGCUGUAACUUGGUCUAACAUCUCAAUGUGGCUUGAGGAGUCCAAGUUAAGGUUCUGCGGUUUUGCACUUUGGUUGGAAAUCAAUUGUGUUAGGGUGAAUUCACAAUAUUCCAACAAACACCAAAACUUUUCUACCUUUUAUUUGUGCAAAAUUAAAUAGGUAAUAGCAACUACCAGCAAUAAAUAAAUAAACUCAUGCAACAGAAAAAUAAAUCAAACACUAGAAUUUUUAUGUGAAAAACCCCCCAAUGCGAAGGGAAAAACCACGGGACCUAGUCCAGUUCAAACUUCCAUUAUCAACAAUAAUGGGUUAUACUUGUCUUCUCUAGAAUAAUCUUUAAAGGCUGCUAAAUACAUCAAGAGCAUAUAUAGCCUUGGAUUAUAUAAUCUCUCUUGGCAAAAUAAACAAAGAAAAAUUGGAGAAAGUAUACCAAAAAUGUUGUUACUGUUCACGGGUAGUAACACCAGUUUUCGAGCUCAAAAUCUUAUCUCCACCGUUCAGAUUGUAGCUACUCGAGUUUCAAACAUUUCCUCCAAAUUUCAACUCUAUUGAACCACAGAUGAAGUGGGAUCGGCUUGUUGAUGAAAUCUGGGUAGAUGUGUUUUUUUUUUAUUUCUCUUCUCUUCUCUCUGUUUUUCUUUUCCUGAUCUACUUUUUUUUUUUUUAAAUGUAACUAACUUGGGCCCCAAGCAUAUGGGGCCCACUCCCUCACAUACGAGGAAACCCAACUCCUGACUAUGUGAUGGGCUCUACCAAGCUCACUUGUUUUCUACAAAAUUGUAGCUUCUCUGUAGGUAUUGGUUUUGUCAUCAUAUCUUAUCCAUUCUCAUCAGUAUGGAUUUUUUCAAGGCAAAACAAUUUCAUCUCUAGUACAUCACGAAUCCAAUGAUAUCUCACAUCAAUAUGCUUGGAUCUAGAGUGAAAAGUUGGAUUCUUACUGAGAUAAAUAACACUCUGACUAUCACAGUAGAGUAGAUACCUUUCUUGCUGUAGACCUAAUUCUUGUAGGAACUUCUUCAUCCACAGUAACUCCUUGCUAGCUUCAAUGAUAACAAUAUACUCAGCCUCUAUGGUCGACAAAGCAACACAUUUCUGCAACAUUGAUAGUCAUGACACUGUUUCCCCUAAAAAGGUGAUCAAAUAACCAAAAGUAGACUUUCUAGAAUCAACAUCCCCAGCCAUAUCUGCAUUUGUGCAUCCUAUAAGCAUAAGUUUGUUAGUCUCAAAACAUAAACAUGUCUUAGAAGUACCCCUUAGAUACAUGAGAAUCCAUUUCACUGCAGCCUAAUGUUCUUUGCCAGGAUUAGAAAAGAACCUACUGACAACUCCAACAACAUAAGCAAUAUCAAGCCUCAUGCACACCAUGACAUACAUUAAGCUACCCACAACUGAUGCAUAGGGAACCUUUCGCAUUUCUUCUUUUUCUUUCUCACUUGAAGGACUUUGUUUGGAACUUAGCUUUAGAUGACUUCCAAGUGAUGAACUCACUGGUUUUGCCUUGCCCANUAUUGAACUNNNNNNNNNNNNNNNNNNNNNNNNNNNNNNNNNNNNNNNNNNNNNNNNNNNNNNNNNNNNNNNNNNNNNNNNNNNNNNNNNNNNNNNNNNNNNNNNNNNNNNNNNNNNNNNNNNNNNNNNNNNNNNNNNNNNNNNNNNNNNNNNNNNNNNNNNNNNNNNNNNNNNNNNNNNNNNNNNNNNNNNNNNNNNNNNNNNNNNNNNNNNNNNNNNNNNNNNNNNNNNNNNNNNNNNNNNNNNNNNNNNNNNNNNNNNNNNNNNNNNNNNNNNNNNNNNNNNNNNNNNNNNNNNNNNNNNNNNNNNNNNNNNNNNNNNNNNNNNNNNNNNNNNNNNNNNNNNNNNNNNNNNNNNNNNNNNNNNNNNNNNNNNNNNNNNNNNNNNNNNNNNNNNNNNNNNNNNNNNNNNNNNNNNNNNNNNNNNNNNNNNNNNNNNNNNNNNNNNNNNNNNNNNNNNNNNNNNNNNNNNNNNNNNNNNNNNNNNNNNNNNNNNNNNNNNNNNNNNNNNNNNNNNNNNNNNNNNNNNNNNNNNNNNNNNNNNNNNNNNNNNNNNNNNNNNNNNNNNNNNNNNNNNNNNNNNNAGUGUUCCUUGCCUUUGAUUGUAAACCCUUCUGGUUGCUCCAUAUAUAUUUCCUCCUCUAAGUCACCAUGGAAGAAAGCAGUCUUCACAUCAAGCUGUUCAAUCUCUAGAUUCAUAUUGGCAGCUAAGCCUAACACAACUCGGAUCGAAAACAUCUUAACCAUGGGUGAGAAAAUCUCUUCAAAGUCAAUGUCUUUCUUCUAACUAAAACCUUUCACAACCAAUCUUACCUUAUACCUUGGUUGUGAUCUAUUUGGUUCAGGCUUCCUUUUUAGUAUCCAUUUAUUAUUCAAUGCUCUCUUACCCUUAGGCAACUUCAUCAAUUUAUAAGUGUUGUUCUUAUGCAAGGAUUUCAUCUCCAUGCAUAGCUUUCAACCUUUUUUUUUCUCAUCAUGUAGUAGAACUUCUUGAUAAUUUUCUGGCUCUACUCCAUCAGAAAGCAACAAAUACUCAUCACUAGUAUUCUUUCUAGAAGGUUGACACUCUCUAGUAGAUCUUCUUAACUAUGUUUCAGUAAGCAACUUUGAAGUAGCUUGUUCUUGCUGCUGUUCUAAGUCAUCAUUCUCAAUUGUAAGAUUUUCUUCUACAUCAUCAAAUGCAGACUCAUCAUUUUUGUCAAUUGUAUCAAUCUAUUCUUCUUACACAACUUCCAUGUGUUCAUUAUGUCCCAUAGAGUUAGGAGAGACUAGACUCAAAUCAACUUGUUCUUCACUGAAAGGCUUUGGCUUCUUAACCUGAUCCAAGUCUUCAAUGGUUUGAUCUUCGAAGAAGACAACAUCUCUGCUUCUUAUAAUCUUUUUGGUAGUUGGAUCCCAUAACCUAUACCCAAACUCUUCAUUUGAAUAACCCAAGAAGAUACACUGUUUAGUCUUGUUGUCAAGCUUGGAUUGCUCGUCUCUAGGAACAUGAACAAAUGCCCUACAGCUAAACACUCUCAAGUGCUCAAAGGAAACAAAUUUUCAUGUCCAAACCCUCUUUGGAAUAUCAACCUCUAAGGGAUAUGAUGGAGACAUAUUAAUCGGAUCAAUGGUUGUCCUCAUGGCCUCACCUCAAAAAGACUUAGGCAAUUUUGCAUGAGAGAGCAUACACCUUAUUCUAUCGCAGAUGGUCCUAUUCAUUCUUUUAGCUACACCAUUUUGCUGUGGGAUCUUAGGAAGCGUCUUCUUAAGCCUGAUGUCAUGAAUUUUGCAUUAUUGCUCAAAUGGCCCCCUAUAUUCAUCACCAUUGCUUGCUUUGACAGAUUUUAACUACUUCUCAGUUUGCCUCUCAACCUUCACAUGAAAAUCUUUGAAUACAUCAAGUAUCUGGUCUUUGGAUUUCAAAGCAUAUGCUUACACCUUUCUUGAAUGAUCAUCAAUAAAAGUCACAUAAUAAAGUGCACCACCAAGAGUAUUACUUUGCAUAGUAUAAACAUCAAUGUGAACUAAAUCAAGAAUACCUGGUUUUCUCGUGAAAGAAAUCUACGAAAUGCAACUCUACUUUGCUUUCUAAACAGACAAUCUGUACAAGGUAAUAGUGACGUACCUUUGACUGGUAGAAGCUUCUUUCUGGAAAGAACCCGAAGUCCCUUUUCACUAAUAUGACCAAGCCACUUAUGCCAUAGCUUAGUAAAGGCUUCAUUCUCAACAAUGUUCACAUCUCCCUUGAUUAAUCUUGCUUCUGUCUUGUAGAAGGUAUUGUUUUUCUUUCCCCUAGCUAAAACAAGAGAACCCUUGGUAAACUUCCAUUUACCCUCUCAAAGGUGACUAUGAUAGCCCUCAUCAUCAAGCUUCCCAACAGAGAUCAAACUAAAGCGCAUUUCAGGAACAUGUCUAACAUUUUUCAAAACCAAUUUGCACCCAAUGCUAGUUUCUAGCUCUACAUCUCCCAUGCCAACAAUUUCACAUUUUGCUUCAUGUCCCAUCCUAACCCAACCAAAACUGCCAUUGGUGUAGGAAGAGAAGAAAUCUCUACGUGCAGUGAUAUGAAACGACGUUGCUGUAUCAACCACCCAAGUGGAAUCCUGACAUGCAAGGUUUACACAUGCAUCAUCAUAAAUAAUGAUCUUAUCACAAUCAGAUGCCAAUGUCUUUGUUAUCUUUCUGUUCUUCACCUUUUCCUUUAGAUUGUUUCUUCUGAAUUUUCUACACUUUCUCUUAAUGUGCCCUAACUUGCCACAGUAAAAACACUUUAUCUCUUUUCGGGACUUUGACUUUCCUCUUAACUUGUCACGGUUACAAUCACUAAAAGGUUUUCUGCUUUCACUUGUCCACCACCUUUCUGUAACAAGUGCUUCUGUAUUAGAGAAAAUACCUAACUCUUUUCUUCUUGCCUCUUCAUUAAACAUGUUGUCCUUUACCAUUUUGACAAUUCUCACACCAUUUGGGGCUGAAUUACUCAAGGAUACCACCAAAGUUUCCCAACUGUCUGGUAAGGAACUCAACUAAAGUAAAGUCUGUAUCUCAUAAUCUAACUAAAGCUUAAUGGUAGACAACUCAUUCAACAGUCUCUGAAAAUUACUGAAAUGCUCUGCAACACUAUUACCAUCCUUGUACUUUAAAUUCACAAGUCUUCUUAUUAUAAAGGCUUUGUUCUGUGCAGUCUUUAUCUCAUAAAGACUCUCUAAUUUCUGCCAAAUGCUAUAUGCAUCAACUUCCUUGACUACAUGAUGGAAGACACUCUGAUCAACCCACUAUGUGGACCCGCAUUUUUCACGUGCGUCCCCACUCGAUCGGCGAGACUCGCUUUUUAUUUAUUUGUGAAAAAUUGAUUUUAGAAAAGUUGGAGUCGCCACCUAUUUUAUUUUUAUUUUAAAGGGAAAAUAAAACAAGAAAGAAAACCCUAAAAAAGUGACUCCAUAGUUUUGGAAGAAGCAUGUCUUUGAGAAACCCGAGUCUAAGUCCGGGGAUCAGGUUACUUAUUGGGAAGGUACCUCUAGGAGGUAGCACCCCUCUAAGCCCCAAAGAGGUCUCUACUGACAAAGUUAAGGGAAGUGUGACCAUUAAUCAGUUAAUUUUAGGUACCUAAGUAGGCUAGGUGAUUUCAAAUAUUGCAUGCCUAACAAGAAAACGAACCAUAAGAGAGAGUCGAAGUGCGUACCUGAACGGCUUCUCAAGCGCUAUCAUGAAACAUAAGAGAUUAGUUUGGAAAUAUGACACAUGGUAUGUAUUUUCAUCAAAGAUGAUCAAACAAGCAUCAAGGCAAUCAAUUAUGGCAUCAAACAUGGUCAUGUCUCAUGAGAAGAUACACAUUCAUAGAAUUUUAGGGUUGUGGGGUAGAAAUGGCGUACCUGAUUAGCUAGCAUCCACAUCUCUAUGGGAAGCAAGGAUAUCUCAACAGUAAAAUAAUGAAUUCAAGGAUUUCACCAAGAAGAAUAAAAAAUCAACAUAUCAAGCAAAUAGUAUUGAAGUGAAUGCUAUGAAUGUCGGGCCCCCACCAAAGCCCUAGUUGAUUUCGCAUGAGUUUGUUCUAUGAAUUCCAUUGUUUGGAAUCAUGAAGUGUAUUCAUGCUUAUUGAAAAUCAAGAAAAACACAAAAAUAGUUAAAAAUCAAAUAAAACAUUGAAAGUGCAUACCCGAAGGAGAGUGGCAGCAAAUAGCAUGUUAAAAUUGGGAUUUUAUACCUAGAAACUCCUAAGGAAUUUUGAAGAAAACCAAAGUUAUUUGAUGGAAAAAGAUUUUUGAAAUUCAUAUUUAAGAUGUAUAAGAUCACAAAAAAAAAAAAAAAAAAAAAGAAACGAUAGGAGGAGUACGAUGUGAGGCAUAGUGACCACGUUGGAGUGAGGUCGGGGGUUAUGACCAAGUUUGCACUGUUGGUGAUUGCAGGCACUGCUGUCAUUUUCUCUAGAUUUUUCCUUCUGCUCUCUCGUAUGCAUUUAGGUACCUUACAUCACUGCAUUCUCAGACCUUUUCUAAUUCCUUGAAAUCCCCCUACAUUCAGAUGCAGCAUCAAUAUUGUUAGAGCAAGUGUCGGCAUCUUCUAUGACCUCCUUAUUAAUUUCUUCUGAUAUUUCAGAUACGGAGCUGAGACAUCCACUUUCUUUUCACCACUCUGUUUCUGUAGCAUCUCUACUUCCAUUGCUCUUGUGAUGGGAAAUCUUUCAGAGUCUUUGCUGAAAUCUUCUACAACCUGUAGGUUUACAGUUUUAGUCUGCACUUCAGAAUCUGUCAUUCUAGAAUUUUCAGCGAGCAUUGUCUCAGAAUGCCAUUCCUAUUUAACCGAUUCAACUUCAAUGGAUGUGGCUGGAAACCCCCCUGAUGUCUCUCUCUUUCUCUAUGAUCAGUUCUUUGUUGUUUUCAUACUCUUCUGCAGGUUUCCUAGCUCCCUCAGGAACCCCUGCUGGCAGCCUCAUGAUUCUGUCACUUUCUAUUGGAGAAUCUGGAACAUAUCGGUGAGUAAUCUUGGAAACAAUUGGGCAAUCUGUAGGUUCUUCACUUGUUCUCAUUGCUAAGUUACCCCAUUCCAUCUGAUGCCUUGGACCUGCCACCGCUGCUGGUAUGUUCCGUUGAACUAAGCAAGCUUGUUGAUGAUGCCAUUAAAAUUGUCUUGACGACAGCGAGGAUCUACUAAAGAUCACUUUCUUGGCGUCUCUAGCUCUGUGAGAUAUCUCAAGGUGUAGCUCGAAAGACUCAUAGUCUGAGAUCUUAUCACCAGUGGUGUUUGCUUGGCUUGCUUCUUUUAACUAUUUACAUGAACAAAACUGAAAGCUAAUGCAGUGUUUCAAUCCACAGAUGGUUGUUUCACCUCCGACUUCUCACUUACUGGUGUCAAUAAUAAUGACAGUAUCCUGACUUCAAUCAUUUCGAGUUCCAGCAAAGACUUUAUCCUGAAGAACUCCAAUCUGAAAUUCUGAAGUACUGAUGCCCUGUAACCCCUGACUCAUGAACGCAGCUUCGACUUAUGUUGCUUGUCACUUGCUCUUUUUAAUACUCCCCACCUUAUUCUCUUCCACCUAUAGUUUGAUUGUCAAUCAUUUCUUCUCUUCUUCAAACUCUCAAAUCUGUGCCCUUAACUUCUCAAUCUGAAAUUCUGGAGCAGCUCGCUUUUCUCGUAGAGACUCGGUUUCUGCUGCAUUGGAUUUUCUCUUCAAAUCCUCAUUUACAAUUUUUGGCUGCUCAUUUUCUUUCAUCAGCUUUGCAAUUUCAUCAGCUUUUACCUGAGCUUGUCUUGCAGCCUCCCCCUUAGAGUGCAGCUUCCAGCAUCUUCAAUUUGCUCAGCUAAGUUACCUUCAAUCUCUGGGACUGACCAGUUCAUUUCUGUUUUGCUUUUGGACCCAUGCUUCUUCCCUUUCUUUCCCUCGAGCUCUGAGAAUUCUUUGUAUUGAACCCUUAUAGUUGCCCGAGUAGUCUUCUGAUGGAGUAGCUCGCACCAAUAACUGAAGUGUUUUCAAUUCCCUGGUCUGAAAUAUCCAACAACUGCUUAUAAGUUGAAAAGAUUAAAGAAUCAAGUUACUUGGAGAGGCUACUAAACAUCUCAUCCCCUGGCUAAACUUCAAUGAGAAGCCUCCAGUCCCAAAGAUUUCUUCCACUGAUUGUGUUUCAAUGCCAACUGUGAAUUUCUAUAAUUCUGAACUCAUGGCCCAGCAAAGUUCAGAUCCAUUAUGGUUAAACAUGGUCAGAAUAGGACCUGAAAUGCCAACCAUGCCCAGAACAUCUUUUACCACUUCGAUUUACUAUUUUGCCCAUUUUAAUUUUCAAGCGAAUAUGACUAGUUGACGCACGACCUUUUACCUUUGACCCCUCAGGUUUAUCAGUAAUGCAGUCUUCAGAGAUAGCAAAUUAUUCCUUUUCCACCCUUGUGCGCUUUUCCACCAAGAUAACCGAAGAAUUCUUAUAGUACCCCUGAUUCAAACCACCAGAUUUACCUAAAAGUGGCAACUCAUAUUAUUGUUUUUUUUGCUGAGCAAACAGGGUCUCAAAGUACGCUUUCUGCAACCCUAACAAAAUCUCCAUGUGAAGUGCCAAUGAAAUUCCUUACUGAAGAAGGGUCACCCUGGCUAGCAGCUGUACGUGUUGCAUAAUCUGAAGUUCCUUGCAUGUAGUGGACACCAUGCGAUUCCAUGUAUGAGUGAAGGUCAGAGCCCAUAAUUUUAUUCCAGCUUGUGCAAGCUUGUCAAUGCAGUGAUCUCUUCUUCAAUUACUGCUUCAACACCUUGAUAUUUCGAUUCAGAAUCCAUUUCAGAUGCUCUUUUGAUUUGUUCUUUAAUUAUAUCUUCCUCUUUCUUGGUAUAACAUUCUCUGUCAAGUCUUCAUCAUCACUUGAAUCAGAAGAAACGUUUCCAUAUGCCUCAUCAUGCAGCUUUUUGUAAUCCCGCCUUUCUACACGUCUCUUUGCAGACAGAGGUGCAUUAUCUUGACCAGAAUUUGACUCCAACACAGAUAAGAGCUCAUCCUUUAACUGUACAUUUUGAAUUACAAAGCCCUGGUGAAUGCGAGGUAUCAUAUUAUUAGCUGCAAACAACAUGGUGUACACUUAUAUUAACACUGAUUGGGAAAUUAAUUGCAGUAACGGUAAGCUGAUCGCGACUAGAGGAUGCUGAGACAGUCGUGAGUAAGCUCCACACAGCAAAUGAAGAAGUCAUUCAAGCACUCCUGAAACUUCCCUUCACCGAUUUCAUAUACAACAUUAGGAAUUGGAUAGAUGCAGGACUUUGUAUGAUUGACAUAGUAUUGAAGGCAUGUCUGCGUCUCUGAGAGGUCUUGUCAUAGAUAUUCAUGAAUAUUUUUCUUCCGUAACUAGGUCCCCUGUAUUUCUUUCAAUUGCAGGUCCAUAAUCUCUCAAACUUAUAUCUGAGUUCUCUAUGGCCAUUUUGUUUGACGUGUGUUCAGAAUGAGUUUUCACUCCCAUGUGCUUGAACUGAACUCCCCUACAGUUAUUAUUUGAGGCCAAGACAAAGGGUGUGGAGGAAUCAUCUUUCUGGGUAAUGUCGGUCCUCUUUUAUACCAGUCAAAAGCUUAUCCCAAACUUCUUAAGGAACUAAAACAUAAUCAUGUCCCUCCUCUAGCGUAUUAAGAAUCUCCAGAUCAUCAAGUUCUUAUUCAUUUCCAUUUAAAACAAUAUCAGAAUUAUCAAUAGGUCCAGGCUUCUCUAUUGUCUUUGAUGGAACCACAUCCAAACGCUGUGAAUCAGACAAAUGUCCAUUGAUUGUUGGAUUCCAGACGCAUCAAUUCACAUCUAACAGCCACUGGAAGCUGCAGAAAUAUCAGUAUUUCUAGGCGGGUCUUCCCUGAAGAUGCCAUGCUAAACGUAUAUCCUUUCAACCUCAGCUUCCAUGCCCUUGCUGUAACGUAAAGUGGACUGUCUCUUAGCUUCAGCCCAAAAAAAAACUGGAAUUCUGGGCCUUCGCGAUCUGGAUGGCAAUUCUGCUCACGGGAUGUAAGUCUUUAAUUUUGCUUUAGCGUAGAAUUUUAAUUCGAAGAGUCCUCAUGGUAAUGGAGUUGACAGAAGGUUACCGUCAUAGGAUUGCUUGUCCACUAAUGGAGCAUCUCGAGAGAUUCUUCAAUAAAAUCGAUUAAGCAUAGAAGUUGAUUUCAGCUUUAGAUGCAAUCAUGACGAAUUAUAGUUGAUUGCUAGCUUCUACUGAAACAGUAUUCUGACUCCCAGCUUCUGGCACUACCCGUGAUCCUUUAAUUUUAUUGUCUUCUCUAAUUGCCAUAGUUUUUCUUCUAGACAGCAGCAAUGAGGAUUUUGAAUUCCAUGACUGACUCAUCUGAUUAAUUAACAUAUAGAGAAGAUUCUUCCAACCGGAGCAUUUGAGACUCACUUAUCAACAGAAGCUGCAUCAAUUUCUUUCUUUCUGCUAUUUUUCCCGCCACUAGAUCCUAACCCAUGACAGCUACCAAUGGCUGAAGCCGUAGAAAUAGUGUAAGAACAUUGCCAGCUUCCAUUCCCCAUGACAUUUUUCCUUAAAGAUCCAGAAUCUCAACCCCAAUCGCAUCUCCUCAUUAUUUCUCAUCUCUUUCCAUAAUCCCCAAAAUUUUUGAACCAACGCUGUCAACUUUUUCCUUGCUUUCAGAAUCACACACUCCUCUGUAGAACUGAUUAGAGCUGUUCCUGAAGGUGAAUGGCCCAGGUUGUAUUUGACUUUUAGAUUUUAGGAUCACAACGACAGUACCAGAAGGCUUAGAGAAGUCCAUGAUUUCGAGCACCACAUUAUGCUUAUCCGAAUGCAGAAAAAGCAGAGUGUCCCUUUUCCCAUGAUUUUUAAUUUUUAACUCCGAAGCAGAGAACAAAUCUUGAAGGCCAGGAAUAGAGCUUGUUGAGGUAUGGACCAAAAACAGAAGAAGACAACAAAAACGUAUAGAAAGAGAGGAAGGAUGAUCAACAAAAGUCACAAUUUCGCAUUUCAAUCCAUUAGCUUAGAACAGGGGAGUGAUUUCAGAAUAAGAUUUGAAUAAAAACCGGACGUGAUUUCUACUAUCCAGUCUGAAGAUGGACAUGUAUGCAAUUUAUUUUCAGGCGGGAUCGAUGACAUUAACAGAAUGAUGAACAUAUCAAACAGACAAAGAUCUAAUUUCAACACAGCAAUUUGUGGCCCUUUCCGUCCACACCAACCAAUAAUAUAUUGAAUAUUCAGAAAUCAUCAAAUGGAGGAAUCGAGUAUGAAUAAGAACAUCAAAAGUAACCAGAAACGUACCUGGGCAGCCUUGCUUCCAAUCUCCCUCCCUUUCUGCUCUUCUCUCUGCGCUUUUCUUCAAGAUCUCUCUUUUUCUCCUUUCUUCCAGCCCCUCUAAAAUUCCAGUACGUGCCCCCCUUUCUUCCUUUUUUCCACCUAUAUAUAUCACCCUUCAGGACCUAAAUUUGUUUCCAAAAAAGAGAAUUCUCCUAUUUUCUUUCUUCUUCUCUUCUCUUUUUUUAAAUCCUUCAAUCAAAAGCAAUCUUCCCAAUUUCAAAUUCCCCUCCAAAACCUUCCAAGGAGAGUCCCGCCUUCCUUAAACUUCAAUGGUAAGUUUCCUUGCAAAAAUAUGAAAUUUUUGAAGUUAAAUAAUUGCAUGAAUAGAUAAAUAAGUAAAUAAAUUAAAAAAUGGUAAAAAUAAUAAAUAAAUAAAUAAGUUAAGGAAAAUAAUAUAAAGAGGAAGAUAACCAAUAAAAAGUGAAUGAUAAUCAUAAAAUUAAAACUAAAAACAAAAUAAAUAAAUAAAUAAAAUAAAAUAAAAUAAAAGUCUUCGUAGGCCUAGUGUGCCUAAACGGGCCUAAGGUGAGACUAAGUGGGCCUAGGGUGGUGCCUAAUGGGCCAAGUGUAUCUAAAAGCUAUCCUAAAAAAAAAGCAAGAAAAGCCUAAGUCUAAAUUAGGGCUGCCAAGGGUCACAAUAAGGGAUCAAAUAAUCCCUCAACCAAAAUCUCCGAGGUGACUCAGAAAAAGGUAAGUGGUAUGAGUAGCCAUGGGCCACCAAAUUUUGAAGCACUGAAAACGAAUUUUAAAGACAUGUGCUAAAGGGACAAAAUUGAGGGUCUACACACUACCUAAUCUGUCCAAUGGUUUUCCUAUUUAAUUUUUUCCACUCAUCCUCAAUUGUAGUAACUAGCUUAUAACCCCCGCAUUCAGUGGGCUCAAACAACUCUUUGCAAUAUAGAAUAUCCUCAAUUUUAGUCUUCCAAAUUGAAUAAUUGGAAGUUAUGAGUUUAAUCAUUCCACUGUCAGCCUCCUCCAUUUAAUUCACACAAAAGAUCCCAUUGCUAAUCAACUUGGCUUUGAUACCACUUGUUAGGGUGAAUUCACAAUAUUCCAACAAUCACCAAAAAAUUUCUACCAUUUCUUUGUGCAAAAUUAAAUAGGUAAUAGCAACUAGUAGCAAUAAAUAAAUAAACUCAUGCAAUAGAAAAUUAAAUCAAACACUAAAAUUUUUACGUGGAAAACCCCCCAAUGCGAAGGAAAAACCACGAGCCCUAGUCCAAUUCAAAAUUCCGCUAUCAACAAUAAUGGGUUACACUUGUCUUCUCUAGAAUAAUCUCUAGAGGCUGCCAAAUACAUUAAGAGCACAUAUAGCCUUGUAUUAUAUAAUCUCUCUUGGCAAAAGAAACAAAGAAAAAUUGGAGAAUGUAUACCAAAAACGUUGUUACUGUUCACGGGUAGUAACACUAGUUCCCGAUCUCAAAAUCUAAUCUCCAUCGUUUCAAUUGUAGCUACUUGAGUUUCAAACCUCUCCUUCAAUUUUCAACUCGAUCGGACCAUAGAUGAAGCGAGAUCGACUAGAUGAAAUCUAGGCAGAUGUGUUUUUUUCUCUCUCUCUUCUCUUUUCUCUGUUUUUCUUUUCCCGAUCUACUUUUUUUUUAAAAAAAAAUGUAACUAACUUGUGCCCCAAGCAUAUGGGGCCCACUCCUUCACAUACUAAGGAGCCCAACAGGUUGAUCCAUGUUUGGUCUUGGAGCAAUGCACUAUAUCUUUUCCAUUUUUCUAAAUCCUUAUCAAAAGUUCCCUUUAAUCUCAUGUCCAUGAUUACGCUCACACACACAUAUAUAAAUCUUCUCAAUAGUUUCCUCAUUUCCUUUUCCUUUUCUUUUCUUUUCUUUUCUUUUUUUUGUCCUUUUAGAGUUGAUAUUGAUGGGGUUGUGAAAAAUGUUUUUCAAUUUGAGUGUUUGUUUUGAAAAAUUAAAUUAAAAAAAAACAUGUAAAAAAAUUUAUUGAAUGUUUUUUUUUCCUACUUAUUUUAUUUUAUUUUUUAUUUUUAUUUUAUCAAGGUUAGAAAAAAGCCAAUGGCAUUUGAGGAUAACAUGGUUGUCUCUUUCAAAUAGUAGGUCAACUUUUUGUUAGUAUUCUAUCAUAUGUAACAAUUCUUUUCUAUUUUUUGAUAUAAUUAAUGGAAAAUGAUAGACGAGUAGUUGCUUUUAGAAAGUUGUCUAGAGAGCAGGAGUAGCUUUCAAAUUUUGUUAUAAAAAAGUUCAUGAAGAUGAGAGUUAUUUGACCAUAUACAAUUUUCUCUUUCUUUCUAUAGAUAAGAUAAUUUUUGGUUGUAAUUUCAUAAGUAAUAUAUUUUUAUUUUAAUACAAUAGCAAAAAUUAGAAAAAAAAAAAAAAUGAGAAACUUGGGGUCUCACAUGUAAAGAUUAGAAAGGAGUCAAAACUCAUGAAAAGAAUCAAUGAAUUUUUUUUUCUUUUUAUUGUUAUAUAAUCAUAAAUAUAUAUAUUUUUCUAUUUUUAAAAACAAAAAUAAAACUAAAAUUAAGAAAUAUAUUAGAUAUUUUUAAAUGUUAAAAAAUGUAAUUAAAAUUUUAUUGAUACCCCCUACUUCUAAAAGUCAUAAAAAUAAAAGUAUGAAUACAUGUUGUUUCUCCUUUUUGGUAAAGAUCACUAGUAUCAAAGAAAUUAUGAAGACAUAUUUCUUCCCCUUUUUCUUUUUUGGUAUCAAAGAUCACUAAUUAUUAUUAUUUUUUCAUAUGUAGCAUAUCAAAUAUAAAUCAAUACCAAAUACAAAUGUUGAUAAAGACUAGGAAUCUACCAAAUCAAAGUGGUAGAAGUAUAUUAAGGCCCUACCAUCUUUGUCAAGAUAUAUGUGUUGGCCCUACCAUUUUUGUCAAGAUGUAGGUAAUAAUAUCCUUGAAUUUUUAUCACACAAAUUAAAACAAUAAGUGGAAAUAUCAUAACACAACAAUUGUUUUUUUAGAGAUGAGUAGUCCCUUCCAACUUAGUUUCACAAUCAUAGAUAUUUUGUAUAGCUUAUGUUUAUAUUCAAAGAUGUUUUAUGUACAAUAUUGGUUGUAAUUUUUUUGGUUAUAUAGUUAUAUAUAUAUAUAUAUAUAUAUAUAUAUAUAUAUAUAUAUAUAUAUAUAUAUAUAUUAUUUCUUAAGUAUAGCAAUUGGUCCACUUUUUUCUCAUAUUUGGAUUAGCUAAUUAAUUUGAUUUCCAUCCUUAGGACCCAACAAGUGACAAUUCAAAUAUAAAUCAAUAUCAAAUAUUAAUAUUGAUAAAGACUUGGUAUCUACCAUAUCAAAGUGGUAGAAGUUUCUCAAGGCUCUAUCACAUUUCUCAAAAUGUAUCUGUUGAUCCUAUCACCUUUGUCAAUGUAAAUGUUAAUAUCCUCAAAACUUUAUCAUAUGAAUUAAAACAAGUGGAAAUUUAUCAAAACAUAACAAUUGUUUUUUUGAAGAUGAGUAGUUUAUUUCAACUUAGGUUCACAAUCAUAGAUAUUUUCUAUAGCUUAUGUUUAUAUUCAAAGAUAUUUUAUGUACAAUAUUGGUUGUAAUUUUAUAUAUAUAUUGGUCCACUUUUCUCUUAUAUUUGGAUUAGCUAAUUAACUUGAUUUCCAUUGAAAGGACCCAACUAGUGACAUUUUGAUUAAUAUAAAUCAAUAUCAAAUAUUAAUGUUGAUAAAGACCGGGUAUCUGCCUUAACUAUCAAAGUGGUAAAAGAGCAUCUUAAGGCCCUAUCACAUUUCUCAAGAUAUAUGUGUUGGCCCUAUCACCUUUGUCAAGAUGUAUGAGUUCUUUUUUUUUUUUUUUUUUUUAUUUGAGAUAAGUAGUCCCCUUCAACUUUGGUUGACAAUCAUAAAUAUUUUGUAUAGCUUAUGUCCAUAGUCAAAGAUAUUUUAUGUACAAUAUUGGUUAUAAUUUUUUGAUAAUUUCGAAAGUAAAAAUUUCAUAAGAUAUCAAUUUUUUUUUUCACUCCUAAAUUUAUUUAGUGUAAUUUUAGAACUCAAAAUUCACUCAUAUAUAUAUAUAUAUAUAUAUUAUCAAAUCAAAAUCAUUAAUGUCUCGUGUAAGGGAAACCUAUUAAAAAAUAAUUUAAAAAAUUCUACUAAUUGUGAUAUAAUUACAAAAUAUUUUUUUUCCUAUUUUUGAAAAUAGAAUUAAAAAAAAGAUAUUUAAUGUUUUUAAAUUUUUAAAAUAUAUAUACCUAAAUCAUUAUUUGUAUUUUUACUUUAAAAAAAACACAAAAAUAUACUAAAUGAAACCUAAGGAUCUCACUACAGUCGAAAAAUAUUUAAAAUUUGAAAAGCAAAAAUUUCAAAAGUAACAGUAUCAAUUUGCUUAAUUUUAAAACUCAAAAUUCACUCAUUUUUUUUCCUUUUUAUCAUUUCAAAAUCAUCAAUGUCUCUUGUGUAAAGGAAACCUUUUAAAAAAUUAUUAAAAAUUUUCUACUAAUUGUGAUAUAAUUACAAAUAUUUUCUUUCUUCCUAUUUUUGAAAAUAGAAUUAAAAAAUAUAUUUAAUAUUUUAAAUUUUUUUAAAUAUAUAUAACUAAAACAUUAUUUUUAUUUUUACUUUUAAAAAUAAAAAAUAAAUAAAACAAAAAAACAAAAAAAUACUAAAUGGAACUUAAGGAUAUCACUGAAGUCUAAAAUAUUUAAAAUUUCAAAAGUAAUUAAGGGUUUUGAAACUCAAACUUUAAUUAAUAUGAUUUUAAAACUCAAAAUUCACUCAUAUCUUUUUUUUUUUUUUUUUUUUAUCAAAUCAAAAUCAUCAAUGUCUCUUUAUGUAAAGGAAAUCUAUUAAAAAUCAUUAAAAAAAUUUAUUAUAAUUUAAAAAGAUAUUUAAUAUUUUAAAAUUUUUAAAAUAUAUAUAUAACUAAAACAUUAUUUGUAUUUUUACUUUUAAAAAUAAUAAAAAAACAAAAAUAUAUCUAAAUGCAACCCAAGGAUAUCACCACUGUAUUAACAUUGAUGAUUUUGGUUGAAAAACAUUUAAAAAUUCAAAAGUAAUAAUUUCCGAAGUAAACUGUUUUCAUUCCUAAAUUUAUUUAAUAAUUUUAAACCUCAAAAUUCACUCAUUUCUUUUUCUUUUUCUUUUUUUAUCAAAUCAAAAUCAUCAUGUCUCUUGUGUAAAGGAAACCUAUUAAAAAAACAUUAAAAAAAUUCUACUAAUUAUAAUAUAAUUACAAAAUAUUUCUUUUCCUAUUUUUGAAAAUAGAAGCGAAAGCAAAAUUAAAAUGCAACCUGAGGAUAUCACCACAGUUGAAGAAUACUCUAGUAAGAGGCCUAGUAGGAAGGAAAUUUUGUAAGUAGUCCCCCAUAAAACAUCCCAAGAUGAUAUUAUUUUAUUGGAAAUAUAUCUUAAAGUCAGUACUGACGAUCGCUAUUUACGCAUGAAUUUGUAUUUAUGAACAAAUCUUAAACACUUUGUUUUAGUUGAUAAAUCAUUGCAUGCACCAUAAGAUUCAUAAAACACCUUGAGAUGAUGUAAAUUCUAGUGUGACUGUAGAGGAAGGUUGUCCUUAAUAUUAGCUCCCCUCCAUAGGCCAACUUUGAAUCUUCAUCGAUAGAAAACCUUACAACAUUAAGGUGAUUUUCUUUUUUCUUUUUUUCAUUUUUGACACUCUAUAGUUUUCUUCAAAUUACUGACAACGCCAAAGUAGUCUUUAGACUCUAUUCAAGCAAUAUAGAAAAUAUGUGAAACUAAUCAACCUUAGUAAUUGUUAAAAAUAAUUUUAUUCUUUUAAUUUAUAUAUUCUACUAUAUAUGCAUGUGUCCCUUUCAAGCUAAACCUAUGCCAACUUCCAAUAAUUACUCUCCAUUUUGAUAUAGAGUACAAAACAUGUUAUUAUGUAUGAGGCAUUAAUCUAUGAAAUAAAAGUAAAAUUAAUGUAAAAAUCCUAAUGAUGAUCAACACACAACCAUUUCAUUGAAAGUGGUAAAUGUAUCUAUGUUCAAACCCUACUAGCUUUAUCUUAGGAGUUAAAAGGAGUAGAUGCAAGCACAAUAGAGCAACAUAAUUGUUUUAGUAGAAGCACGUGUCUCCUUCAAAGCUAUGUCCAUAUUUUCAUAGUUGUCUAUUCAAAUAGGAUUUCCUUUCUCUUUCUAACAUUGAUGAAUAGCUUGUAAAGAUUUUUAAAAUAAAAAAUUAUACUCCCAAAUCACCCGUUAUCUUAUAUUUUUUGUCAUAUUUAACAAUAUUGAUGUCUUAAAUGUGAAAAUUGAAAAAUUAUCAAAAAAAUGUUUUUUAUUUUGCUACUAUCAAAUAUCUUUUUCUAGUUUUAAAAGGAGAAUAAACAUAGGAUUACAAAAUAUAUUUUCUAAUUGGGUUAUUGCAAUAGUGAUGAAGGAGAAUGCAACUAAUUAAAGAAUCCACUUAAUGCAAUCCACUCGACCAAAUGCAUCCCACUUGCCCUUCUUUUUAUAUGCUUUAAAUACCAAUUUGUUCGGAAAUUAAAAUUUUAUUUGAAGUAAUUUUAAAACUCACAAGUCAUCCAUAUCUUAUUCUUUUUUAUGGCCAAAUCAAGAAACUUAGUAUUUUGCAUGUAAAGAUUAGAAAGUGGUCAAAACUCAUAAAAAAAAAUUAUUAAAUUAUUUUCUUUUUAUUGUUAUAUAUAUAAUCACCAAUAUAUUUAUCUAUUUUUAAAAAAUAGAAAUAAUACUAGAACUAAAUAAGGAAGAUAUUAAUAUUUUUAAAAGUUAAAAAAUGUAAUUAAAAUUUUAUUUAUACCUUGUACUUUUAAAAAUAGUAAAAAUAGAAUUAUGAAUACAUAUUUUUCUCAUUUUCGGUAAAAAUCACUAGUAUCAAGAAACUUAUGAAUACAUAUUUCUUCCUCUUUUUCCUUUUUAGUGUUUUGUUCAUCUUUUCUAUUUGAUUAGCCUAUUUGGUGAAUGUCACUAAUUAUAAUUUAUUUCUUAAGUUGUAAUUGGUCCAUUUUUCUUCUCAUAUUUCAAUUAGCUAAUUAACAUGAUUUCUAUUCAUCUCAUAGUGAACCCAACUAGCUAGUAAGUGGAAUUCCAAACAUAAAUCAAUCUCAAAUAUUAAUGUUGAUAAAGACUAGUUAUCUAUCAUGUCAAAAUAGUAGAAGUAUCUUAAGUCCCUACCACCCUUAUCAAGAUGUAUGUGUUAAUAUCCUCCAAACUUUGCCAAUUAAAAUAGGAGGUGAAAGUAUAUCAAAACAAAGCAAGUGUUUUUCUAGAAAUGAAUAGUCCCUUUCCACUUAGGUUUACAUUCCUUAGUGGACCCAACUAUCUAGUAAAUGAAAUUCCAAACAUAAAUCAAUAUCAAAUAUUAAUGUUAAUAUAGACUAGGUAUAUAUCAUAUCAAAAUGGUCAAAAAAUAGUCUUUCAAAAUAAUUUUUAAAAACAAUUAUCAAUUGGGAAAAAGUUUUCCUAAUUUAUUCUCAUAUAAUACAAUAAUUUCUAAAGUAUUUUUCAUAUUUUUAAUUAUUUAUUACAAUACUUGACAAAAAAGAAAAUUUUUAAAUAUCUAGAAACACUUUAAAUUCAUUUUGAAAAAUAACUUAUUUUAUAACAAAUUUUUAAAAAAUCAUUUUCAAAAAAAAAAUUGAUAAAUAUAUUUUCUAAGUUGGAAAUGUAUUUUGUAUUUCAAAAAAUAGAAAACUAGUUUUAAAUGGGUCAUUAAUCAGGUUUUCUUCCCAGGGUAAAAAAUAAUAGUAGAGGGGAAGUGAUUUUUGACCAUUAAUAAAAUUAUUGUUAAACAUAUUCCAACCUAAACCUUUAAUAUUUAUAAGAAAAACAGUGAAAACUAUUGCUAGGAGAAUUACAAUUGUGUAACCAUACGAAUGAUCAAAUACUUUUACCCAUAAUUUUAUACAAUGUUUUGAUCAGAUACUCUUGCCAACAGUUUUUUUUUAUGUGUCCUAAGUUGUCACUCGACAAUUGAUCUUGCAAAAAUAAUGUGAACACUAUUGUGAACCCGUAUUUUUCACAUGCAUCCCUACUCUAUAGCAAAACUUAGAAUUUAUGAAAAAUGUUUCAUGUUUUUAAAAACUCAUUUUAUUUGAGUUUUGGAAUUGGCAUUUAUUUUAUUAAUUUUUUUUUUAAAAAAAAAGGUAAAACAAAAUAAGAAAAAAAAAAUCGUGUAUAACUCCUUAUUUGAAAAAGACAAGUCCAUUAACCAAAAAUGGAUUUGAGGGUCAAGUUACAUAUCUAGAAGGUAUGAGGAUGAGCCUUUGCACACCUCUAAACCCGUAUAAUUAAUUAAUUAGUGGAUACAAAAGAAAUCAAGAAACCUAAUGUCUCACAUAUAGAGAUUGGAAAGUGGUGGAAAUUGAUCAUAAGAAAAUUAGUAAAAAAAAUUCUUUUUAUUAUUGUUUAUUAAUCAUCAAUAUAUUUUUCUAUUUUUAUAAACAAAAAUAAAACUAAAAUUAAGGAAGAUAUUAAUAUUUUUUUAAAUUAACAAACGUAAUUAAAAAAUUAUUUAUAAUUCUAAUUCUAAAAAUAAUAUAAACCAAUGUAUGAAUAUAUAUUUCUUCUUCUUUUUCCUUGUUGGUAUUUUCUUUUUCUUUUCUAUUUGAUUGGUCUAUUAAAUGAAUUUCACUAAUUAUUAUUUAUUUCUUAAAUAGUAAUUGGUCCACUUUUCUCUCAUAUUCAAAUUAGCUAAUUAACUUGAUUUCCAUGUAAGGACCCUAUUAGUGGCAUUUCAAAUAUAAAUCAAUAUCAAAUAUUAAUGUUGAUAAAGACAAUUAUCUACCACAUCAGUAUCAAGUAUUAAUGUUGAUAAAGACUAGUUAUCUACCACAUCAAAGUGGCAAACAUAUCUUAAAACCUUACCGCCUUUGUCAAGAUGCUCCAAGCUUUGUCAUAGGAUUUAAAACACCAAGUGGAAGUAUAUUAUAACAUAACAAUUAUUUGUGUAGAGAUGAGUAGUCCCUUUCAACUUAGGUUCACAUUCAUAGAUAUCUUGAAUAGAUUAUGUUUAUAUUCAAAGAUAUUUUAUGUACAAUAUUGAUUAUAAUUUUGUAAGUUAUAUGUAUAUACUUUUAUUUUAAUGUGAUAGUAAAAUUUAAAAAGUAAAGGUAUCAUUUUUUUUCAUUCCUAAAUUAAUUAACAUAAUUUCAAAACUUACAAUUCACUCAUAUCUUAUUUUUUUCUGUAGAAUCAACAUUAGCAAUGUCUCUUGUGAAAACUUUGGAAAAACUGUGGAAACCUAUUAAAAAAUCAUUAAAAAGAUAUUUGACAUUUUAAAAUUUUUUAAAUAUGUAUAACUAAAAGAUUAUUUGUAUUUUACCUUUAAAAUAUGUAUAUCUAAAUGCAACCUAGGAUAUCACCACAAUCAAAAAAUGUUCUAGUAGAAGGAAAUUUCAUUGUGAAAGCAGUAUCAUUCAAACAUCAUCCAUAUACACACCUCUCCAUGGUGUUCUACAAUUAGUGUAAGAAAAAGAAGGAAAAACAGGAAAGGGUAAAUUUAGUAUGGUAGAAGGAUUCGUAAAUUAGGUGAGAAUAAUGCCUUUGGAUCAAAGAGUUACUCCUUAAUUUAGGGAAAUGCACCCAGGGGCUUAAUAUUUUUAUGGCUGGUGAAGAUGAAAAGUGGAGACUGGAGAAUGUAUUUAUUCAUUGUAAAAAAACAAAAAGCAUGUUUUUCCCUGAUUACUAAUUGUAAUCGGAAACUUGUUAGUAAAAGCAUAAACAAUAGGUAAGACUUAAGCAUGUUUAAAAUGAUUUACAUCAAUGUCAAAGAUUCACAAAUUUUUUCCAUACAAAAUCCCGACUGAUGGUUACCGAUAAAGGAAAAGCUGGAACAAAAAGGAAAAGCAAGAAGACUACAAUCAUGUAUUUGGUGGUAACUUCAAGCGAUGAAGAAGGAUGUAGCACAGCUUGCAGCCCGUCAACGAAUGCUGUCACCAUUACAGCCAUCGCAGCCAAGGUGAGAACAUAGCCGUACAAUAAGUAUGCGUGGACGGUCUUCUUAUUUUCUAUGGGGAAAGAGGCAAGGAAGUAAAUACCAAUUGCACACAUAGAAAGUACCAUGGCUAUGCUAUCUUCCAUGACAAAAUUUCUGAAACUUUCCGUUGCUGCACUUGCCAUGUCUCCGUCCUUGCCCAGGGUGCCAUCUGUUGGGAGCGAUAAGACUGCCAUGCCCUGGGUAACGCCCUUGUCCGGAAUGUAACCACCAGGCAGUGUGAAACCUGCCGUGAAGGUUACAGUUGCUAUGAGUGCCGCCACUAUCAUAUGGCUUUUCAUUGUUUUCUUCAUUUCAGAUAUUUCUUUACUUUCUUCACUUCCUUUGUUUUCAGAUAUUUCUUUGCUUCCUUUGCUUUCGCUGCUAUUCAUGUCUUCCUUGACCUCUAGCGAACCCAAGGGUCUGAUCCCAACUCUGAAACUUGGACUCCGUCUCUGAAAUUGUAAAAUGUUUAGAGAAACAUGGAUAGAGAUUUGAUUUGAAGGGGUGAAAGAAUCAUCCUAAUUCUUGUAAAAGAAGAAAAAUAAUAUAUUUGCUAACAUAAAAUUACCAGAAACUGCAUUUUUAUUGUUCUUCUCUCACAUAAAAACAUAUUUUUGAAUAAAAGCAUAUGAAGGAUGGUUGUCAGAUGUAAUAUCUAUAUAAUUAAAAUACAGAAACACGAAAAAAAUAUAUAUAUAUAAUUAAAAUUAAUUAAAAAAAAUUAUGUAUUUUUGGAUGUCAAAUGGGUAACAUAGGAAAUCGAAAAUUUUGACGACCUUACCCUUAAUCUCGCGAAGGUGUCCAAUAUCCACGUCAACAUCCUCUUCGGAGGUGGGAAGUAGUCGACAUCUUUAGACAAGGGAGAAUUGUGAAACAGGUAGAGGGGCGUCUUUCCUUCAGCAUUCUUCUCGUUCAUGAGUCCUCUCAUCCUUAACGGGGGAAUAUUUGACAAACCCGAAGUUACAAAUAUUUUUUUUGGCAUUAUAAAAUGAAGAACAUUAUUGCCCUCAUCAUCAACUUUCUCGCAACAAUCUGGAAAGCGUGACACCAGCUCUUUCACUACAUCCACAUGGCCUCGGCUUGCUGCAAUGUGAAGAGCUGUCUUGUUUCCAUGGUCUUUGACGCCUAGGUGGACAAUACUGCUGUCACAUUUCUCUAGCAAUUGCCUCACUAUUGUUGGAUGACAACCCACAUAUGCAGCAAAGUGAAGGGGAGACCACCCAUUUUUAUCCAAUUCUUUAGUUAAAGCAGGUUUCCAUUUCAGCAUCUUCUUUGUCAUUGCUGAUAAAAUCAACAAAUGAGAGAAAAAAAAUGAUUUAAGAAAAUUAAGAAAAUAAAUUAAGUCUCCUCUUGUAAUGUGAUUCGACCAUUAAAUAAAAAUGGUGCAUCCUCCACUACGUACCUUUGUUAUUGAGAAUUACCGCAGCAUGCAAAGCCGUUCGACCCUUGAUGCCACUAUGAGCUGGUGAAGAGUACUUGUCUAGGAUCAUCUGCACCAAGUCUCCGAAUCCCCACUCAGCAGCGAUGUAAAGAGGAGUAUUGCCUUCAGCAUUAGCACCAUAGGCAAAGUCGGGGUCAUCCUGAAUCAAUAACUUCACCACCUCAGGGUGAUGAUUUCUCACUGCCUCGUGCAAGGCUGUGUCUUUGUCGUUAUUGAUCAUCCUCAGAAUUACCGUACAAUCUGCUACAGCCCCUCUUUCUGUGUCUCCUUCUCCAAGUUUUUUGGCAGCGUCAAUCAGAUUUUUCACCACUUUCCAGUGCCCUUCCCUGGCUGCAAGGUGAAGUGGUGUGUCACCUUUCUCAUUGGGCUGUUGCAAUAGCGAUGAAGGAGAACCCAACCCAAGGAUCCACUCAACGCAUUCCGCUUGACCGAACUGGGCUGCAACAUGGAGAACAGUGUUCUUCUUUGGGGUUAGUUUGACUUGAA